rnacentral:lncRNA from 1 species
CUCAGACUCCAGGAAGCCAAGGACUGUUCCUGGGAUAAGCCCUCUUAUUCCACCUCCAUCGAUGCUGAGAAUGGUGAUUAGAUUUCCAUAAGUUGGAGGCUGUAGGGGUGAUUUUGGACCUUCUCCCAUUAGGGAUGGAGUGAUGGAGGUAUGAACUUGAGUGAUAGAGGAGAGAAAUGAGAGACUUGUUAUUUCAAGAGACUUAGAAUAGAAUUGAAGUUUCUGCAGGAGACUUAGAAAUGUAGAGAGACUUGGAGUUCUCUUUGAUAACUAGACAGGAGUAUUUAUAGACUCCUUAGCAUAUAUCCCUCAUUUUUCUUGCUCAUACUUUUCUAAAUGGACCUGGUUCAAGUUGGACCGCGGAUUCAUCAUUUGGGAUAAGUUGAAAAGUCCACAAGCAACCAGUAUCUUCUUGUUUUAUAGAAGCUAGCCAAAUGGUCAUAGACAUGACUCCUGGCAACUGUAGGUAAGACCAAAGAGAAUAGCUGGUAAGAAGGAUUAGGGGACUCAAUAAAGGUUGAGAUAGGAUUUUUUCCUAACUAAUGAAGUUUGUGAACAGGUCAUGGAAACACUUAAGUCUUAUGAAAUGAUUCUGGUUUCUAGCUAUGUCUGGUGCAAAGAAUCAUGAUGGAGACAAGGCUAAAUGUGCAAACCAAAAAAAAAAAAUUAUUAUUAAAUGCACACAAUUUUGUGUUUGUAAAUCGAUGUGCUUGACUGGGGAUGCCGAUGAUUUUGAAAGAACACCAAUCAGGGCAAUGAAAAGUACUGGCCAACACGGCACUGUGAAUGACAAGGAAUGAUAAUUCAAUGUUAAGCAGCAAGGUUUUAUAUAAUUUCCUGUUAGACAUGAUUUUUUGACCUAAUAAACUCAUGCUUUUCAUAUUUAAUAUCUGUAAAAUUGUACACACGAUCAUUGGCUUCUAUAGUUUGUAGAAAACUACAUGGUUUUCCAAUACUUUUUAUAAUUACAGUUCUGAGUCCUGUGAAUUUUAGAUUAUGUGCAGUGCAAAGACUUGGUUGACUGGUAGUUAUGGCUAACUAAAAAUAGGUUGUAUUAUAUUAAACUACAAAAAGUUUUCAGUACUUUUAUCUUUAUCAAUCUGUGUUAGGCACUUAUUUAGCAAGGUUGGAAGUAUGAAGGGUGACAGCAUCCCCUAUGGACUUCACUUUACCUCGACCAAACAGUGGUCAAUUGGUAUUUAAAAGUUAACUUCACAUCUAUGAACGAAAAAAUCAUGUUUGUUUAUCAUGGUUAGGCAAAGAUGCAACGCAUCCGUGAAGUGAAAAAAAGAAAGGACUGGUCAACUAAGGAAAUCUGUUGGUUGCCGUAGUGAAUUUGCGAACCAUUCACUGGAAACUUCAAAUUUCGAACACAGCAUGGCCUAUUCACUUUCAUGUUGAGCUCAAUCUAGAACAAAAAUAAUACUAUUACAGCACUAUUGGAACAGCUCUAAAGAAUUGGGGAUUGAUGCUGGAAAUACUUUGUUCCUUAUGGUCUUUGCAUGUUAAUCUUAGCUGCUGGGCUUAGCUGGGCAUUAAUAUUCAGAAAUUGUGAGAACUCCAUGCCUGCCCGUAUUUCAAAUCCCAAAUUUGACCCAAACCCUAACUUAAUUGAAAGCAGUUUAGAUUUGAUCUUUUCAAUCAGUGCCCUUGAGUCCUUGACCAUUCCACCCUUCCAAAGCCAUCCCUUCGUUUCUAUUUCAUGGAAGCUAGCUAUCUAUGCUGUAAUGCCAUCAAUCCAUUCCUAACUCUUUGAGAUGCUUUAUCACCCCCAAAGUCCAUUUGAUUACAUUUAUUACUUAUACAGACUUGAUCUGAUCAAGGAAAUAAAUAAUGGACGCAUUCUAUACAAUUUAUUUAAUGAACUCUACUUCUACUAAAAAGUUUUGUUUCAUUAUAUGUAGCUUUGAUCUCAACUUAAAUAUCUGCUGCAAUUCAUAUAUGAGAUAGGGUUUUCUUGUCCUCAUAGUUUGCACAACUUUCUACCAAAGAAGUUCACAAUGUAGAGUAUGAUUUAAAGGCUGGGAUGAACUGAGAAAUGAGUCAAUGUUGAAAAUCUAAAGGUAUUUAUUAGUAUAGUAGGGCAGUUUUGUAUUGGUAAUAAAUCUGUUGUAUUUUCUGUUUUGUUCUGUUUUGUAAUCUGGUGAGUCACUUACGAGUGUAGUUCUUUAGGCUCUAUAUAUAGGCAUGCUUUUGGGUAUUCUGAACUGAUCUUCAGAAAACAUGAAUGAAUAGAAGAUUUUCGUUGUAAACCCUUUCCCUUUUUCUUCAGAAACAACAGUAUUGAAACCCUUAAUUAACUAGCAUUUUUAUUUACUCUGGAUGAAGAUGGGACUGAAGGAAGAGUGCUUGAAGUUAAUUUCCUUUGUAACCCAUCCAUUUUGCUUCAGCUAAGAUGAAGGAAGAAGAGAAAUCAGCCAAUAUAAGGUAGAUUCAAUUGGAGUUAGCGUUCUCUUACUUUAGCUUAUUGGAUCCCUAGACCCAGCUAAUUAACCAGGAGCACCACCCACCAGCAGUUUAUGUCCAUUGAUAAAUACAAUCCUAGUUAGUUCUACACUGCCACGACCUUAACCCCUGCCUUGAACACCAGACCUUGCUGUCCGGGAACGCUGGCCAGUAAUGGUUAAUAGAGUCCUAGGGAAACCACAGAAAAAUAAGACAUUCAUAGAUUUUUACAUACGUUCAUGGACUCUUGUAUUAACAUUUUUGACUCGUGUAACAUUUGAGGAAAAAAGUGUAAAAAGAAAAUAAAGAAGGAAAUUAAUAGAAGAAAAGAAAAUAUGAAGAAAAAUAAAUAAAAUUUUAAAAUUAAUUAAUUAUUUUUAUAUAUUUUUUUAAAAUUUUAACUAAUUUUAAAAAUAUUCAAAUUUUUAGUAUUUUUUAUUAUAAUUUCAAAUUAAAAAAUUAUAUUAAACUUUUUUUUUAUUAUAAUUUCAAAUAAAAAAUUUCGGCACCCUAGUUUCUUCGGAGAUUUCUCUCUUCAAAUUCCUCUCUUCCCUUCAAAUUAUAUUCUCUCCAGUUCCCAUGGUUGGAACAGCAGCCAGUACUUGGGUAUGCUAUGUCAUUUUGGUGGUGGUGGCGUUUUGGUGAGUUGUUUGUCACAAGCGCUCUGAGGCUGGUGGAGUAGUGGGGUUGGUGUGGCACUAUUGUUUUGUAGGUGGGGAUUGAAAUGCUUAAAUUCUGAUUCAAGCUCUCUCUCAUGUCUUUAUUCUUGGACUUUCAGCGCCUAUUUCUUCUGCCACAAAAGAGCACUAUAGUCCUUCUGAAACUUUCACAAUAUUACCCACCAUCAAACCUAAGAUAAUAUUUCACCCAACUUGCCUCUUCUGUUUUUGAUAAAGUAACAAUCCGUGAUUGUGUGGGUGCCAACAAAGAGGAAAAUAAUUAAUUACUAUCGAGUUUUAGAUUUAAUAACUGUAACCAAAGAAACUGGUUCUGGGUUCUUGCAUUAAAUUGUGUUUAAGCAUCAUGUCUAAUUCGUUUCAUUUGUUUUGCAUUAAAUUGCAUUAAACAUAUACAACUUUUUUCAUUUUUCGGAUUGAACAAGUUGGUUUCUACUUUCUAGGGAGGAUACUAGGUUUUGUGAUAGUAUGAAGCUAUUUGAUGUUUUAAGUGUGUAAAGAAGAAGUUAGAGGACUCCCUGUACUCUUUUGAUGAAGUAUGUAUGGGCAUUGAAGUCUUGUACGUUAAGCAAAUAAAGAAGUUGUAUAUUGAUAUAAUAAUACGAGGCAUGUACAUAUAUAACCUUAUGGAGAUCUUUCUGGUCCACUUAAUUUCAAUGAUGUGUAUUUGCUUUGAAUUUGAAUUCUUGGAUAUGGCCAUCUUUGGAGGAAUACAAUACUGUAUGAUCUAAAAUUUAACAGUAUCCAUUUUCUUUGGCAAGAAGAUAAUCCCAUAGAGAGUGUGGGAACUUUAGGUAAGAGGACUCUCAAAGAAUUGUAGGUAAGAAUAGUUAGGUGAAGUGGUCAAGCUGAACAUGAGAUGGAUUAUACUAACCAGUCAAAAACACUAUGUAACAAAGGCGAUACUUUGUUUAUAAAUAACUGUGGUUCAAGUGUCUAGCGACAUGAUAAGGGGGACAUACCUGGUUGUUGCGAUCAAGAAUUGGUAAUUGACAUUCUGAACAUACUUUAUUAUCAUUAAUUUUUUGUGAGAGGUGGUGCCUUAUCUGGUUGCGGAGGAGUCAAUUGGUGCGGCGAUUAAUAGGUAAUGGCAUUUCCAUGUGCCAACAGCCAAUAAUACUAAUGACCAUGAAAGCGUCAAUCAGGGUGGCGCUGAUUGCAGGGCAACCUUGUGCAUCAAGAAUGAAUAGUACUAGAGAAUUCAACAAAUUAAGGUAUACCAUUCUGUUAUGCUUCCAUAAAACUUUCAUCGCUGAAUGGGAGAAUAGUUUGGUUUUGACAACUUAGACUGUAGAAGUCUAAGCUUCCAUCUCGUUUUAGCCUAACUUUUUCCUUGUCCAAUAGUUUAUACUUUCUUUCUUAUUUUCCGUAAAUUUUUCGAUGCUAAAAACAUAGGCUUGUUCACACAUUACUUCUAAUUAAACAGCAUGACAAUAAAAGACCACUAGAUGUUUUUCAGUUGCAUCUCUUUCAGCAGGUUUCAUAAUUUUGAAAUAUAAAAGCAAAAUCCUAUUUCUUUUUCCCCUUAAUCACUGCACCAUGUAUUCCAAGUAGUAAUUCUGUUUUGAGCAAGAUUUGCAUUUCGUAUGCAUAACAACUUCCAUAUGCAGUUACUGCUCCUUGUGUGACAAAUGGGGUUGAGAGUUGGGGUAUGCUUAUCCUUUUACUGUCAUGGUGAACUGAGAAUGGUUAGUUGUCCAUAAGCUCUGGGGCUUUGUUGGGAGGAAGAGGAAGAAGAAGUCCUUUUACUGUCAUAGAAAACUGAGAAUGGUUAGGUCCAUGAGCUCUAGGUCUUUUCUGGGAAGAGGAAGGCUAAAAGGAAGAAAAAGAAGAUACAACUGAUGUACGAAGAAGAAGAAGAAGAAGAAGAAGAAGAAGAAGAAGAAGAAUCGUUGAAUGGGCACCUAGCCUUCACCGUAUCUUAUUUGAUAACUGGAACUGGGACUAUAUAUAACUUGAAUAUUAAGGCAUACUACUCAAAUUUUCCACACUUGCCCUAACAAAUAAAAUAAGAUUAUUGUGGAAGAUGCUAACAUAUAUAUCCUAAACUAUUUUAAAUGUUAAUUGAGGAAUGCAACAUCACUUCAAUAUUGUUGUCUUCAAACAAGGCACACAACACAUCAAGUUAUCACACUACAUGGCAUUUAUUUAAUAAUAUACUAAUUAAUUGAACUGGAACUGAUAAACUUCAAUUUAAGAUUAUUUCUGAUUAAUUUGCUGCACAUCCAUCUGGGAUUUGGCAUCAUGAAGGCGUUUCUCUUGUGACAGUACUUCUGCAAACCUGUGACAUUGAGAGCAAUUCGAUCAGUAUUAAUGAAUGAUAGAAGAACAGGUGGCAUAUGUAGAGGGGCUUGUUUAUUAAUCCGGCGUAUUGUUGUUUGUGAUCACAUGCGUUCUCAUCUGAAAUGAAAUUACUAUGUAGUUUUGAUUCAAUAAUUAGUGGACAGAAUUUUAUACAGUAAACAGAUUUACAAUGAGAACUGAAUCUAAGACUAAUUUGAUACCUCAUGAGAGCCUCUUCAUUUGUCUGUUCACUUGAAGGCUCCAAAUUUGAUACCACAAUCAGUUGGCUUUAUAGAAAAGAAAUGAGAAUUUCCCCCACAAAUCUCGUUAGUCACUUCACCACUGAAAAUUAAAGCCUGAAAGGGAUCAAUAGUAGGUCACAAUUAUUAUAACAAUUCAUCACUCAUUUGUUUUUCAGUAAUAGAUAUACAAUACUGGAUUAUUGGAAGCUACUGUUAUUUCGACAUUAAAAUUAAGUGGGUGCCCACUAACCUAGUGUUUUAAUUUUUAUCCACUUAUAGCCAAUUAAAGAAUGCCUAAAAUAGUUACUAACUGUUGUAAGGAUAUUUACCCUUUGAUGGAGUGGGUAAAUAAGAAUAAAACAAUUAUUAGAAUAACACGUUCAGAAUAGUUUUCUGAACGAUUAUUCUUAGCCCUAUUCUCCUAUCUAUAAAAGAAAGAUACAAAACCCCUUUUGUGAGUAAGUUCUCUUCCAUCAAUUAAAGGAAAUAAUUAUGUGUAUUAAAAUUUGAUAAGGAGAAGAAGAGAUUAAGAAUUUAAGGUUUACAAAUUGAAGGGGAUCUCUCUAUUUAACAUGGCUGCGUGUUCUUCAAACGGUAUGUAAUCAAUUCUUUAAAUUUUUGAGAUGUGUUGAAUUCAAUGAUCUUUAAUUUGUGUGUUAAUUUUCGCGUUAAAUACUAACAAUUGGUAUCAGAGCCAAGUUGAAUUCAAAUAUUCAUAAUCAUUGUUUUAUAAGGAUUAAAUUUUUGAGAUUUUAUCUUCAAUUAAUUGGUCUCACCAAAACGAAUAGGAGAAAAUCUAAACAAAAUAAAGACCAACCUCAGCGCGUAGAAUGAAGGCACUGUGUCUUCCUUGCAACGCCGACUGGAGCAACGCAGUCCAAGCGCCGUUUCAUUUUGGGCGCCGCUACCAAUGACAGGGAUGACACUUGCGAUGCCGGUGAGGGGCGCCGUUUUGGCGCCGGUCCGGUGGUCGAAAAAGGUGUCAUUUGGCGCUGUUUCAGACAUUCAAGAAGUGUCAUUCAAGGAGCGCAACAAGGCCAUUCUAGGGGCCCUUCAGGGGCCAGUCCAAGCACCAUUUGCAGCGUCGUUCCAGGCGCGCUUUAGGCGCCAUGCCAGGCGCAUUCCAGGCGCUCCAGCGAUGUCGUAUUUAGGUGCUCCAGAAGCGCCAUUUCAGGCAAUCUAGAUGGCGUGUAGGCGCUGUUUUUUAAGCGUUUCAAAUGUCGAUGAGAAGGGCCAGUUUUGGGCGCUGCAGGCGUCCGUUCCAAGCGCUGUUCAAGGAUCGUUCUCUAAUGCAUUAUUAGACAAUUUAUAAAUGUAAGGUUAACUAGUUUAGAUAGUUGCCAAAGUAACCUAAAUUAGUGAGCCUUGUAUUUAUUAAAUUGCAUAAAAGAAUAAAGGGAGACUUGUAAAAUUCUUAAUAAUUCUCUUUAUAAUUAGGAGAAUGAGACUAGCCCAAAGUAGAGUCAAUUUCUGCUAAUUAUUAAUUAAUGCUUUUAUUUUGUGUUGCUUAGAAAAGUAAAAUGGAUACCCAAAGGUAACAUAUAAAUGACACAAAAUAGUAAAGUAUUUUAAGCUCCCUCCAAGUGAACACUGGAUAUGUUAAAAUUUACCCAAAGGAGAAUUUUAACGAUAUCAAUAGUUCAUUGUUAUUUAUUUUAUACUUGAGGCCUUAUUGUGAGCAUUGUUCUAUUUUGUACAGUUUCCACUUCGUUACACUCUCUUGCAUCUAGAAUGACUGUUUUUGAUGGGUCAAACUUUUCUGAAUGGUAUGAAAGGGUUCAAUUCUCACUGGGCGUAUUGGAUCUUGACCUGGCUUUAAUAACUGAUAAACCUCUUGAAGCUAUGGAUGAUAGUACUCCGGAGUAGGUGGAACAAUCAAAAGCCUGGGCAAAAUCAAACAGACUCAGUUUGAUGUUUAUGAGAAUGACUAUUGCCAAUAAUAUCAAGACCUCUCUCCCUUAAACCCAGUCUGCCUCGGAAUUUCUGAAAUCUGUUGAGGACCGCUUCAAACGCGCUAAUAAGUCCCUUGCAGGCACAUUGAUGGCUGAAUUGACCACCAUGAAAUAUGAUGGUAAAAAAUGUAUUCAACAACAUAUUUUAAACAUGACUGAAAAGGCUGCAAAGCUUAAGGCACUAGGCAUGAGUAUGGAUGAGUCAUUUUUGGUACAAUUUGUCCUUACCUCACUUCCAUCACAGUUUGCUCCAUUCAAGAUCCACUAUAAUACUAACAGCAAUCAGUAGAACUUGAAUGAGCUCACCAGUAAAUGCAUACAAGCGGAAGUGAGAUUAAGACAAGAAGGACAUAAUCUUGCCCUUGCUGUAACUCAUGGAGUCACAAAGAAGAAAGGAAAAUUCAGAAAAGGAAAGAAUUUUCCACCUAAGAAAAGUGGAUCUAGGGAAGGUAGUCAGAGUCAUGAUGAAAAAUUCAUGGUAAGUUGCUACUUUUGUGGCAAGAAAGGGCAUGUGAAGAAGGAUUGUAUCAAGCGCAAGGCUUGGUUCGAAAAAAGAGGUAUAAAUCUUUCUUUUGUAUGUUAUGAAUCCAAUCUUGCUGAAGUUCCUUCAAAUACUUGGUGGAUCGAUUCUGGAGCCACAACUCAUGUGACUAAUUUAAUGCAGGGAUUCCUUACAACCAGGAAACUGAAGGAAAGUGAAAAGUUCCUCUAUAUGGGAAACCAUCUCAAGGUCGAAGUGGUAGUUGUUGGUACCUAUCGCUUACUCUUAGACACGGGUCAUAUGAUGGAUCUUUUAAACACUUUUUAGGUACCUUCUAUUUCUAGGAAUUUAGUUUCUUUGUCCAAAUUAGAUGUUGCUGGAUAUUAUGUUUUAUUCAGUUCUGGACAAUUAAGUUUGUUGUUAAAUUUUAUUACAGUUGGUUUUGGUAUUUUAUGUGAUGGUUUAUAUAAAAUUUCCUUGAAUCAUGAAUUUGCACAAGCUUUGAUAACCCUGCAUUCAAAUGUUGGUUCAAAACGUGGCUUAAUUAAUGAAAAUUCUUCAAUCUUGUGGCACAGAAGAUUAGGGCAUAUCUCUAGGGAAAGAAUUGAGAGAUUAGUGAAUGAAGGAAUUUUACAAAAUCUUGACUUCAUUGAUUUUCAGGUAUGCCUGGAUUGCAUAAAGGGAAAGCAAACUAAACAUACAAAGAAAGGUGCCACAAGAAGUAAUGAGCUUCUUGAGAUAAUUCAUACGGAUAUUUGUGGACCACUCUAUGUUCCAUGUUUUACAGGAGAAAUAUUUUAUCACCUUUAUAAAUGAUCUAUCUCGUUAUGGUUAUGUUUAUCUAAUGCAUGAAAAGUCUCAGGCCAUUGACAUCUUUGAGAUGUUCAUUAUAGAGGUCGAGAUACAAUUAGAUAAAAAGAUUAAAAUUAUGAGAUCAAAUCGAGGUGAUGAAUAUUAUGGCAAAUAUGAUGAAUCAGGACAAAAUCCUAGUCCUUUUGCCAAAUUCCUUGAAAAGCGUGGCAUUCAUGCUCACUACACAAUGCCUAGUACGCCACAGCAGAAUGAUGUUGCUGAAAGGCGUAAUCGCACAUUAAUGGAAAUGGUUAGGAGUAUGAUGAGUUACUCUCCUGUACCUAUUUCAUUGUGGGGUGAAGCCUUAAAGACUGCAAUGUAUAUAUCUUGAGUAGAGUUCCUAGUACGACAGUUCCAAAAACUCCUUUCGAGUUAUGGACUGGUAGGAAACCUAGUUUGAGACAUAUACAUAUAUGAGGUUGUCCAACGGAGGCAAGAAUCUAUAACCCACAUGAGAAAAAACUUGAUUCGAGAACGAUAUCUGGACAUUUCAUUGGCUAUCCGGAUAAAUUGAAAGGGUACAGAUUUUACUGUCCUAACCACAGUGUGAGAAUAGUUGAAACCCGUAAUGCCAGAUUCUUAGAGAAUGGCGAAAUCAGUGGGAGUAAUGAACCAAGAAAGGUAGAUAUUGAGGAGAUAAGAGUGGAUAUCCCACCACCCUUUUUACCUCAAGAAAUUAUUGCCCCUCAACUUGUUCAACAAGUUGAGGAACAUGAGCAACAUAAUAGAGAUGGUUCAUUACCACCAGAAAAUAUUGCCAUUGAAAAUAUUGUAGAGCCACCACAACUGGCACCUUUAAGGAGAUCUCAAAGAGAAAGGAGACCUGCCAUUUCAGAUGAUUAUGUGGUGUAUCUAUAGGAAUCUGACUUUGAUAUUGGGAUAAGGAAGAAUCCGGUUUCAUUUUCACAAGCCAUGGAAAGUGAUGAUUCUAGUAAAUGGAUGGAAGCUAUGAAUGAUGAGUUGAAAUCUAUGGCCCAUAAUGGUGUCUGGUAGUUGUAAACCCAUAUGCUGUAAAUGGGUGUUUAAGACAAAGCGCGACGCUAAAGGCAAUACCAAAUGAUUUAAGGCCAAACUUGUGGCCAAAGGUUUCACUCAAAAGGAAGGUAUCGAUUAUAGAGAUACCUUCUCUCCAGUUUCCAAGAAAGAUUCACUUAAAAUCAUCAUGGCACUUGUAGCUCAUUUUGAUUUAGAGCUACAUCAAAUGGAUGUGAAAACUACAUUCUUAAAUGGGAAUUUGGAUGAAGAUAUCUACAUGGAACAACCUGAGGGGUUCGCAAAGAAAGGAAAUGAACACCUAGUUUGCAAAUUAAAGAAAUCCAUUUACGGUAUUAAACAAGCUUCCAGACAGUGGUAUAUUAAGUUCAAUAAUACCAUUACAUCUUUCGGAUUUAAAGAGAACACUGUUGAUCAGUGUAUAUAUCUGAAAAUUAGUGGGAGCAAGUUUAUAUUUUUGAUACUGUAUGUGGAUGAUAUUUUGCUUGCUAGCAGUGAUCUUGGUUUAUUACGUGAAACCAAGGAACAUCUCUCUAAAAACUUUCAAAUGGUUGAUAUGGGUGAGACAAACUAUGUUAUUGGCAUCGAGAUAUUUAGGAAUCGAUCUCAAGGAGUGUUAGGUUUAUCUCAAAAAGGAUAUAUUGAUCGAGUUUUAGAGAGAUUUAAUAUGCAGUCAUGUUCAUCAGGUGUUGCACCUAUAUUGAAAGGUGACAAAUUAAGUAAAAAACAAUGCCUAAGGAAUAACAUGGAAAGGGAGCAAAUGAAGAAAAUUCCUUAUGCAUCAGCUGUGGGAAGUUUGAUGUACGCUCAAACAUGUACAAGACCAGAUAUCAGCUUUGAUGUUGGCAUGUUAGGAAGAUACCAAAGUGAUCCAGGACUCAAACACUGGAAAGCAGCAAAGAGGGUGAUGAGGUACUUACAAGGGACAAAGGAUUAUAUGCUCACAUAUAAAAGAUCAGAACAAUUAGAGAUUGUAGGUUACUUGGAUUCUGAUUAUGGUGGUUGUCUCGAUAGCUUAAAGUCAACUUCAGGAUUUGUCUUUAUGCUGGCAAAUGGGGCAAUAUCGUGGAAGAGUGAAAAAUAAUCAAUUACUGCUUCAUCCACGAUGGAGGCCAAGUUUGUUGCUUGUUUUGAAGCCUCAAGUCAUGCUUUAUGGUUAAGGAAUUUUAUCUCAGGACUUGGUGUUGUCGACUCUAUUGCUAUACCUUUGAGAAUAUAUUGUGAUGACAUCGCAACUGUUUUCUUCUCUAAGAAUGGAAAAUUUUCUAGUGGAUUGAAACACAUAGAUUUAAAGUAUUUAGUUGUUAAAGAAAGAGUCCAGAAACAACAAGUGUCAAUUGAAAAUAUUAGGACCACACUUAUGGUUGUUGAUCCAUUAACUAAAGGAUUACCUCCAAAGGCAUAUUUGGAACAUGUUAUGAGGAUGGGUCUUUUGAGGAAUCCAUACUAUGUAUGAUAAUGAAUGGUGGUUAUGUAAUUGACAAUUUACGCAUUAAAGAUUGUUUUUGUUUAUUCUUGUUUUCAAUUAUGGGUGCACGUUUUAUUGUUUGAUAAACAAGAAUUAUCCCGACAAGACAAAUUACAGGGCCUGUUUGGCAUUAAGGACUGGGUUAGUUAGGGUUAUUGAUGUGUGGUGCAUGGAAGGAAACAUGACAUUAUGGUUAUGUGACCGCCAUGACUCGCAUUUAUGAUCUAAACUGAUUCAGUAUUAUGGUAUAUGAUUUUGGACGUAUUGGCUAUGUUUAUUGAAAUCGUGAUCACGUGUCAAAUUUAUUUUCCAGUAUAUAUUUUAUAUAUAAAAGUAUAUAUAUUAUAGUUUUCAUAAUCGGUUUAGUGGGCAAGUGGGAGAAUGUUAUUUCCACGUUAAAAUUAAGUGGGUGGCCCACUAACCUAGUGUUUUAAUUUUUAUCCACUUAUAAAAGUUUUUAGCCAAUUAAAGAAUGCCCAAAAUAGUUAAUAAUUAUUGUAAGGAUAUUUACCCAUUGAUGGAGUGGGUAAAUAAGAAUAAAACAGUUAUUAGAAUAACACGUUCAGAACAGUUUUCUGAAUAGUUAUUCUUGGCCCUCUUCUCCUAUCUAUAAAAGAAAGAUACAAAACCCCUUUUGCGAGUAAGUUCUCUUCCAUCAAUUAAAGGAAAUAAUUUUGUGUAUUAAAAUUUGAUAAGGAGAAGAAGAAAUCAAGAAUUUAAGGUUUAUAAAUUGAAGGAGAUCUCUCGAUUUAACAUGGCUACGUGUUCUUCAAACGGUAUGUAAUCAAUUCUUUGAAUUUUUGAGAUGUGUUGAAUUCAAUGAUCUUGAAUUUGUGUGUUAAUUUCUGCGUUAAAUAUGAACAGCUACUCCAAAUAAGAUUGAAUUUUCUAAUUCUUCCUGUGACAUAAUCUUUGAGAGAUAAGUUGGAGCAGCUAGCUGAAGUUCCUAUGCUUAUCACCGAGAGUAAGACAUCUAUGCUGGGGUGCUGUUUGACCUAGAUCACCAUGAAUAUCAAUAGUAAGUAAGUUUCUUUUCUGAUAAUGAGGACCAUGAAAAAAAAUGGUGAAAUAGUACAUUCCAAAGAUUUUUGUAUGCAUAACUAACUAAACCUUAAUGUUGGAGAAAAUGGUGAUGAACUCUCAAUUUUCCUAAAAGCUUAAGUUUGAAGGAUUUGAGUUCAAUAUGCAUAUCAUGCUCCUUAACACCCUCAUGUGAUCCUUAACACCUUCCCUCACAUGCGGUCCCAUCCCCACACGCGAAGAGAUAAACAAAAUUUGGAUUCAUAUCUAGAAAAACAAACAGGAGAUAUGCAAAUUAAGACCUUCAACCAAACUAAGCUUUAAUACCAUCUUGAACUACUAAUUUUCCAAAAAACUUAAACUUAUAGUAUUUAGGUUCAGUAUGCAUAUCAAAUGAUGGUUAUUCUUUUGUAAUAGGAUGUAAUUAUUCUUUUGUAAUAGGAUGCAUAUUAGGUCUCAUAACCAUUCUUUUACUCAAAGGGUGUCUUAAAUUGACCCUAAGUUAAAUUAUUCUUAAAUUGUUAACUUAAAAACUUAUUACUUAUUUUUAUUUUAUUUUAAAAAUUAAGGUUGUUUGGUUAACUUAAAAUCUAUUUUAAAAUAUCAUAUUAACAUAUUUAUUCUCAUUAAUUUUGAUUAAUAUUUAUAUUUUAACUAAUUUUAAAUAAUAAAUUUAUUUAUUAAAUAUUCAUAUUUAAAGUAUUGUAAAUAUAUAAGAUAAGUGUAAAAAUAUUAACUAUAAAAUAUGAAUUAAAUGUAAAGUCAUGAUUAUAAAAUAUACUCCCACUAAACAUGAGUAAAUGAGGUAAAAAAUAUUUGACAUUAAGAGUAAAUUAAUUAUUUUAAAGUUAUUAAUUUUGACUUUAAAUUGUGAUAUUAAAUUAUUUUAGUAAAUAUGUUUGAUCUCUUAAUAAAUUACAUGAAAGCAUUAAAUUAUAUAAAGUUAUUGAAUUGAUUAACCAAACAUCUAAAUUAAAUUAAGUCAUUAAGUUAUAUUAAGUUAUUAAGUUGAUUAAUGAAACAUUCUCUAAAUAUGAUAAAUUUUUUUUUUCCAAUUAUAUAGUUAACCUUCAAAGAAGGAAUUUUUCUAGACCCAUUCCUUUGCUUUUCGUUAAUGUUGCAUGUUGUCAUGUUCAAUCAAGUGUGUGAUUUCAUAACUUAAUUAACAUUGAUGAAAAUUUAUAUAUCAAAUAAACAUUAUUUUCUUACAGAAGCAAUUAAUAAAUGACAAAUUUGAGGUAUACAGCUUAGUACAAUCGUUUGGGAGAUAAAAAACAAAAGAAUCAAUCAAAUUACAAUAUUUUGAAGUACAAUUAUUACUAUAUAAGCAGCCCAUGCUUUGGCCAUUGGACACAUACAGCCAAGGGUAACUGGUACCGGAACAAUGAAGGGUCAAUCUCACUACUUCAAGUUUUUCUUGGGAUUUGGUGAUCUUGUCUCUCGGAGUCUCUUCUCAUCAGAGAGUAGCUUUGCAAACCUGCAAGGAGUAGGUAGUCAACUGUACUGUUAUAAAAGAUCUUUUAUACUUAAUGCAAUUAUACAAAUGUUUAAUAUCUUGUUCAAUUUAAUUUUUUUCUAUACCUUUUGAGAGCCUCUUCAUUAGUGCCGCAAUUUUCAACUGGCACAGAGAGACCUGUCUCCAAGUUCACCCUUGAAACUGGUUUCUUCAGCAGCCUUUCUCCGAUUUUCACAAGGUUGCCCAAGUUUUCCUUGGUGGUGACAUCAACCGUAGCAUUCGUUCCAUGUAAUGUAUCAUCCUAAUUUGACAUAGUUCAAGCAAAUAUUCAAUGCACAAGAAGGUUUAAGGCAAAAGCCAAAUGGAAACAUGAGCAUGUAUUGGAGGAGCUCACUUGGAUUCGGAGGUAGUUAUCUUCAGAAUGAAGGGCUUGGAAAACCACGGAAAUAUGGAAAUCAACCAUAUCUGCACUUGCUUGCGUAAACACAUCCACCAAAGGAGUGGAACCACCAUGAAGUAGCCAACCCAAAACGCCCCAUUUGGCUGCCAUUUUGGCAUUGUAUUUCUGUUCUGACUUUGGAGAGCCAGUUCCUAUUGAGAUCACUAGAAAGCGGCCAUAGUCCAUGGGUUUAAUUGGUAAGAAAUCUGGGUUUUUGUCAAAAACUUGUUUCGUUACUUGGCUUAUGGCAACUAAAGCCUGGAUCAUGGUGCCAAAAGAAGAAAAAAGAUAAAAGUCAGCUUAAUAUAUUUAAAUUCUGACACUUUGUUAUAUAUUAUUGCUUUAAGUGGUUAUUAUCUUACCGGAUUAUUUGCUGCGACACCACCAUCAAUAAGAUUGAGUUCCCGUGCUUUUCCUUCUUUAUCUUGGUUUUUAAAGAAAUAGGCCGGAAAGUAUGUUGGUGCUGCAGAGCUACCAAUGCAUAUGUCAGCCAGUGGAGCAUCCAAACUUGGGGAUCUUUUAACCUGCAUGAGGUUAGUUAAGAUUCUGUUACAUGUUAGCCAGGUAAUUAAUCUAGACUCACAAUCCAAACCCAAUUAAAUGGAGGGCCGAAACGGUAGAGCACGAGAGAGAGAGAGAGAGAGAGAGAGAGAGAGCAAGAUCAACCUCAUAGGAGGAGAAAAUGCUUGGCUGCAAACUCUUGAUAUCAAAAGUUGGAAUAACCACACUGGUCAAGGUCUGAUGCAACCGAGUCCUUCCUAGUUUCUCCUUUAUGAGGUUGUGAAGGUAUUUCCCAUCAUAAUUGGGCCCAACUAUUGAUCUAAAAAUAUUCAUGAUCCAGCCGAAAAUACCCCUGCCAUUAAACAAAAAUUCUUUUGUUAGUUACCAUAUGAAAUUCCAAAACAAGACGUAAUCCUAGGUUUUCACAUACUCUAUAUGAAUCGAUCUUCAAAAGAGAAGCAAGAACAAUCUGUAUCAAAUAUUACCUUCUGUGUGGAAAUAUUUUAGGGCCGUGCUCAAGAUAAAAGGGCUUGAUGUCUUUGGCUGCGAAUAGAGGACGUUUCUCAUCAUUCGGAGCAGUUAGCAUGGCAGUCACAAGACCACCUGUGCUUGUUCCAGCAAUCACAUCGAAGUAGUCUGCAAUCCUUGCAUCAUCACCAUCCAGCUCCUGAUAUAUUCAAUAUUGUAUUGUUUGUGGUUAGUGUUACCUAAAUCCAUUAUUUUAUCUUAUAUUUGACACUUGGACCACAGUAACAUAUUUGAGGAUUAUUAGCAGGUUGCAUUCUUUCUAAUUUUCAAUAUAUUUGAGGAUUGCAUAUAUAGGCUAUACGCAAUACAACAAAUUUUAAAAUAUGUAGUAUGGUAGGUAGGUGAGCGGGAUUGAAUAAGCAUUUGGAUUGUAAUUGUUCACUGUUUUUUAAAGUUGUGUAGUGAUAAUUUUUAAAGAAAAAUCGCUCCAAGAACCCUACUUUGACAUGCAGUAGAAUAUAGAGAUGAAAUAUGUGCAAACAUCAUCCACAUGAUAUUAAAUAAUUUAUACCUGAAGUUGAGAUUCCAGACAAGCAAGGAUAGUUGCAGGAAUGAUGCCCCUGAUACCACGUCCAUCAAUACUAAGAAUGGUGACUAGGUUACCAUAAGUUGGGGGCUGGAUUUGAGGUAAGAGUGAUUUCUCCAUCUGAAAAAUGAUAAUUAUAGGAUUGUAUGCACUAACUUACAACAAGAAACUAAGAAAUCCUUGGAUAAAAGAAAGAUGUGAAGAAAAACAAAAGGGCUUGAGGCACCAAGAAAGAUGGCCUUGAGCAAGAAAAGGAUGAGAAAAAAGAAACAAUGCUCGAGUUGUCUUCCCUCUUGUGUUGGAUUGCAUUGUCCAGAAUCUAUUUAUAGGCUAAUCGAGCAGCAAGGCACGUGCUAUAGAAUGCGGUUACUGACGAGUAGGUAACGUGAUAUGAUGAUGAAGUCUGCUUCUAGCACAGAGCCCCUUUCCCAGAUAUUCUUUUAGUUUAUGUGGUCAACACACUCCAUUAAUAGGAUAUUCUGUGUGCAAGUAAUUACACACAGAAUGAAGGCGGCUGGCCAGAUUUAACAUGAGAAAAUUGAGUUGAAUGAGUCUAAUAUUAAAAUCACAUUGUUCAAAAAUAAAAAACAGAUGAAGUCUGCUCCCACCAAGUUUCCAUACCACAUUUUGAAGUAUAGUUAGUUCUCGUUCUGAUAUUAAUCCAGACUAAGGCUGGCAGCUUCCAACACUGGUAUAAUAGCAUGUUUUCCAUCUUUUUUUUCUCCCCUGUAUAUACACAUAUUAUAAAGUCCAUAGUAUGAACCUUGUUUCAUCGUUAACAACUAAAGAAAGAUAAAUUAAUGAACAUGCAAAUGAACGCUCAUGCUUACGAGGAUGAUUAUUUUGAUAUUUUAUGAUAGUACAACUAGCAGUCUGCUUUGUCAUGCUGUUGCAUCCUCCUAUUCUUGUAUUUGUGUGUAAGGGACAAAUCAAACUUUGAGGAUUGCAUGACAACACGACAUCAUGCUCAUCACAGAUGUUGUUCAAUUGUUCAGUUUAUAUAAACAUGAAACACAUGGUACGGAGAACCAGGACAAAUCAACCUCUUAAUCAUUACAUACACGGCAUCAUGUUCAUUAUAAAUAUUGGUGAUGACAUAAUAAUAUAUGCUAAAUAGGGUGUAACAAAUAAAAAAAAAAUUAAGACUAUGAAAGUGAAAUUAGAGAAAGAGUGUAUGUGAGAGAAACCAAAAAAAAUAAAAAAAUAAAUUUAAAACAUGAUGAAGACGACGGUGAAGGAGAUGUUUCACCAAACAUUUCAUUAUUUACUAAAGAAAUAAGUUUGGUUUAAUCUUCCUUGCAAGCUAUCUUACUUUUUUUUAUUACAACCUAUGCUCAAUUAUGCAAUGAUUAUACAACGUCAUUUCCUUGAAAACGACAUUGAUUACUUGGCACUAUAUAAUUUGCAUGCUUUAUUUGUUGGUAAUAUUAUGAUUUUUUACUAUAAUAUUCUUUUCAUGACGGGUGGUGUCGGCUCCAGAAAGGCUGCAUCAGUGCACAGUGAUUCUCAAUCAGAUAUUAGGGCACCCAGAUAAUAUUUUUGUGUUUGUGUCACUGUUGUCCUUUAAAAUUAUUUAUCCUUACAUCUAAAUAAUUUGUUUUCUUGUGGUUGUAGAUUUGAUAUAAAGUUGAUUCAGAUAAACCAGUUUUUAAUCUUGAAUUUAAAAAAAGAAUAAUCUAAAAUAUAAUGGUGAAAAUGAAAAGAAAAAAAAAAUGAAUACCAUUCCUAAAUGGAAAUCUUGGUAAUUGAAAAACUUCGUCAACAUAUACCAAUGGUUUAUUAAUGGCUAUUAAAGUUUCAUGUAGGGACUAAAAUUUCUUGACAUAUCUUCAAUGGACAAAGAUCAUUUUUCCAAAAAUAAAUUGUCUUUAAAUGUAUUGAUUCCUUUUCUUUUGCGUUAGGCAAUGGAUGUUCUUCAAGUGAAAACCACACUUGUAGAGUUGUGUCCACACUAACAAUCAUACCAAGUACUUCUGUCAUUAUACCAAACAACCAAGAAAUGAGUAGUCCAACAUUCUUAGUCCAGGCAGUGUGUUGAGGGUUCAAGAAAAACUUUUCUCAGUUGUAUCCAAGCCAACAAUCAUACCAAAUGCUCUUCUAUCAUUAUUCCAAACAACCAAGAAGUGAGUAGGUCCAGGCAGAGUGUUGAGGAUUCAACAACUUUUCUCCAUUUUCAUCAAAUUUUUCUUUUGCGAGCUUAUUAGCAUCUAUGAGAUGGUGUGCUAUUCCAAGACUUCUAAUAAGAGGCAGAACUUGUGAACACCAUAGAAGAAAAUUAGAAGUGUUUAAUUUAAUUGAUACAAGACUAAUGCAUUGGUUAAAGAAUUGGAUAGUGAGUUUGGGUUCAUCUUGACUGACCAUAUUUGAAAGGAUUGGAUUAUAGGCUCUGAUGCCAUGUGAAAACAAAAAAACACUAAGCAAACCUUUGAAGAUUAUUAUACAGAGAGAAUGUAUGUACAAUUGUCGGGAUGACUUUUAAUAAACAAUGACAGAGUUAUACACAUUAAGUAAUAAGAAAAUUUUCGAGAACUCAGUAAUGACAUCAGUUAUUUAGUAAGUUCCCACUUGGUCGCAUCCUGAUGAAACUUGAGAAUUAAGGUGCUAGUGAUUGAGCUCAAUUUGAGUAUUGCAACUAAACACUUCUUAUAAAAAGGAAAUGGAUGAGAAAUGAGAGGGAAUUUUUUUUGAGCAAACACACUUUCUUUCUUAGAAUCCAAACUUGAGGAAUACAUCAUAAUACAAUCAUUUUUCUGUUUACAUAACUCAUUUUAUCAUUACUUUCUAGAAAUUUGUUUGUGUGCUCCCUACAAUUUAAGUCAUGUAAAUUGUAGAUAAGAUGUCCAAUGCCAAGACUAAGUGGACUGUUAGUUACUGAUCAGGUUUUCCCACAACACCACUCAACUGUUAAAAUGAUGAAACUAUUGCAUAAAGGUAAGGUAGGUAGCUAAUUAUAUCUAAAAAUAAGAUUAAAUUAAAAUAGCUACCAAAAUUUUUUACUUUUAUCUUUAUCAAUCAGUUCUGGGCACUUAAUUUGCAAAGUUGGAAGCAUGAAGGAUUACAGCAUCCUGAAUGAACUUCAAUUUAGGAACUAAAGGUAGCUAAUUGGUAUUUAAAUUAAUUGAACAUUGUUUAUCAUGGUUAGGCAGAGAUGUGAGGCACCAGUGAAGUGAAAAAGGAUAGGGCUGCUCAACUAUGGAAAUCUGGUCGCCCUAGUGAAUUAGUGAACAAUUCACUGGAAGCUUCAAAUUUCUUGCACAGCGUGGCCAAUUUCAUUUUCAAGUUUAGCUGAACCUAGAGCAGAAAUAAUACUAAUACAGGAUAAUUCCAACUUCUCUACAGAAUUGGGAUUAUGGGUACAUAUGCUGGAAAUACUUUGUUCCUUGUGAUCUUUGUAAAGCUUAUGUUUAUCUUUUUAAUCAGUGGCCUUGACCAUUCCACCAUUCCACCAUUCCAAAUUAAGCUAUCACUUCAUUUAAUACCACAGUCCAUGCAUGAACUAUUUUAUUCUGAGAUUAUUUUUUUUCACCAUAUAUAAUGAUGCUAAAUAAAAGGAACUAAAUAAAAAAUCAAAACACACGACCCUGCAUCACACCUCACUAGUUUACUUACAGACUCAAUACUUCACAUAUAUAUGCAAUGCCUUCUCCUGGUUAGAUCUUUCAUUUUCACAAACUGAACCUACAAACCCAUAUAUAAUAGGAUGGGUAACUAACCAUGGCAGAACUAUUACUUUUCAUGGAAGCUAGCUAGAUAUGAUCUAAUGUAAUUAACAAUGCAUUCCUGAUUCUUUGUGAUGCUUUAUAACAUGGGAAGUCCAUUUGCUUACCAUUUAUCACAUAUAUAGACUUGAUCUGAUCAUGGCAAUAAAUAAUGGCAAUCCUUUAUAGCCCAGCUACUUUUGUUUAAGGGUUUUCUUUUACCAUGCGUACCUUUGAUAUCUCAACUUAUGUGCAUCAAUUAACAUAUAUGAGAUAGGGGUUCAUGUCUUCCUAGUAUGCACAGCUUAAUUUCUACCAAAAAGUCUCACAUGUGGAGGUAUGAUUUAAGGGCUUUGAUGAAAUGAGAAAAAUGAGCUAAUGGCAAAAUUCUGAAGUUGUUAAAACACUGAAUCAACUCGCAUUUUCAUUUACUUUGGAUGAAGAUGGAGCUGAAGGAAAAGUGCUUGAAGUUUUCUUAAUAAUCCAUCCAUUUUGCUUCACCUAAUUAGAUGAAGGGAGAAGCGCAAAUAUAGAAGGUAGAUUCACUUGGAGUUUCUCUUACUUUACCUUACCGGAUCCCUAGACCUAGCCAAUUAAUUAACCAGGACCACCACCACCCAUCAGUGGUUUAUGUCCAUUUAUAAAUACAGUCAAUUAUAUGCUGCCACGUCCUUCACUGUAACCCCUGCCUUGUAAACCGGUCCUUGCUGUCUUGAAACGCUGCCCAGCAAUGGUUUAAUAUAGUAUGAGAGAAACCACAGAAAAAUCUAUAGGACAUUCAUAAAUUUUUAAUCAUUCCGUGUCAAACAUACCCGACUUUAUAGUUUCUGACUUCUUCAGGUUUUUGCUUGUUCCACAUCCAGCAGGUUUUUAACUUUAUGGAGUCAACAAUUUCAAGCAAGUGACAUCUUAAACGUUGUUUUCUGAAAAAAAAAAAAAAAAAUCAGAAAUCUAACUCACAUGUAUCCAAUAGAAGAUUGUAGCAAAAUUGAAUUGCAAACCAAACACACAAAAGAAGUCCAAAAGAAUAUUUCAUUCUUUCACAGUUCAUUAGCAAUAUUACAGUCUACCCGUGAUUAUUCACUCUCUAAACAAUGGUUAUGGAUCUAAAUUAAUGCCGAUUGCAGCUAACCAAACCCAAGCUAAGGGGAAGUUUAUUACAGCACAAUCAAUUAUAGAAGAAAAUAGCUAAUUUUAAAUUGAUGAUGCCCUACAUGCUGCAUGUCCAUGAGGCGAUUUAGCUAUGAAGCUUCUUUUCUUGGGAGAGCAGGUUUGCAAACCUGCAGGAUUGAAAGCUACUUAUUGUGAUUGUGAUAUUGAUUCAGAAAAUAAAAAAUAAAAAAUGUAUUUCUACAAACCUUAUGCGAGCCUCUUCAUUGGUCUCCUGAUUAGUAGGAACAAAGAUACCCGACUCCAAAUUAAAUUCAUCCUUGAAACUGGUUUCUUUAGCAGUCGUUCCCCAACUUUUACAAGAUUUUUUACUUUCUUCCAUGGCAAUAUCAACUGAAGAUACUAGUCCUUUUAGGGUAUCAUCCAACAGUUUAAUUUUUAUUUGAAGGUGUCAAAAGUAGUGUUAUGGUGGACCAGAAAACAAGGAAGAAAAUCAUUUUUCAUCUCCAAGAAUAUAGAGGAUUUUAACAACAAUAGCUUUGAUGUUGUAUCAAUGCUUGUAUAAAGACGUGCAUGAGCAUGUAUGCCUACCUGAAUCCGAAGGUAAUUCUUUCCCGAGAGAAGGGCUUGAAAAACCAUGGAAAUAUGGAAGUCUACCAUAUCUGUGCUUGCUUGUGUAAACACAUUCACUAAUGGGGUGAAACCAAUACUAGUUAACCAUCCCAAUAUAUAUGGAAGUCAACCAUAUCCAUAAUUGUUUGUCUUUAAGUUUUUCCUUUACAAGGCUUUGCAAAAACUUUCCAACAUAUUUUGGACUUAGUAAGGCUUUUGAUUAUCUUUAUAAUGAGGUAAAACAUAACUGUCAUUUAGGAAAAAAAAAAAAAAAAAAGAAGAAAAAAAUCAUGUUAACAACUAUAAAAAUAGUAACUUUGUGACAUUCAAUUCAACAUAAUUAUACUGGUUAAUGAAUUCUUUGGUUGUGGGCAAAUUUUAAGAGACUGAUUAAGGUAGAGAUUCUCAAUGCCUUUGGCGGCAAACAUGGGGCAAUUGUCUUACUAGGUGCAGUUAGCAUGACAGUCACAAGACCACCUGUGCUUGUCCCAGCAUCAUAUCAAAAUAGUUUACAAUUCUUCAAUCCCCUCCAUCCAACUUCUAAACCUAGUAGAAACCACUUAGAGUUAAUACUUGCAUUAUAAUAACCACUGUUAACAUCAACACAAAUGAAGUGGUAAUAUAGAAAAUUGUUGCAGCUUCAAAAACGCCCUCCAUUUAAAUAUACACAGGUGAAAAAUGGCAUAUAUGCCAAAAUUCUGGUUGAAUUGAUAUGGCAGAGGUAGCUUGUAGAUAUGAAUGUCAUGAUUAGUAUCACUCUUCAUAUAUGGAAUAGAAGAGUGAUGCUCCUGAUGCUUGGGGAGCUUGUUGAUAUUUAGAUCUUACCUGAAGUUCAGACUCUAGAAAGUUAGGGGUAGUUAAUUCCUAGGAUAAUCCUUUUUAUCCCACCUUCAUCAAUGUUGAGGAUGGUAAUUAAUUAGAUUCCCAUAUGUUGGAGGUUGCUAGGGUGAUUUUAAUUUGCUCCUUCCAUGAUGGUAUGAAGUAAAAGAGAUAGAUGUAUAGACUUUCUUUAGAAAAAAUUAUAAGAUCUUGAAAUAAAUUUUAAUAGAAAAAGAAAUUGUAAGACUGAAGUACUCUUUCAUAAAGCAUGAGAUAUUAAAGUUCUACCAAGUUAAGAGAAAGAAUCUAUGAAUAUGGAAGACUUACGUAACAUGGGUAUCUAUGUUUAUAGCAUGAUAUGUAAUUUAAUUUUUCCCCUAAGUUUCAUUAGUUCACCGUCUAUACUUAAUUCUUUGACUUUGUCCCUACAUGUACUUUCCUUGAUGUGGCUUUGGUUGGAGAUGAUGAUCACUAACAUGGUUAUCAUUCAAUGAAAAACAACUGUUAAAUCAUUUUAUCAUAAUGGAAAGAUGGCCCUUGUAGGCACUCAAUAUGGGAAUUGUAGGUAGAGUACUACUCUAAGAGAAUUUUAGGUAAGACUAAUUAGGUAAAUGCGUAUAGCUAAAAAUGGAAUGCAUCAAUCCAACCAAACUAUUACCCUAAGCAACAAAGGCCACAAUUUCUAAAUAAAUAACUUAAUGUGAAUUGUAGUAUCUAGCAUGUUUACAUGAAAAUAUUCUUGCUUGCAUGUUGAAUUCAAGAAGUUAGUUUGUAUUCUAAAUGUCGCUUUUUUUUUUUCAUAAUAGGUGGCGCCUACAUUCUAAACACCAACUUUUUUCACAAUAGGUGGCGCCUACAUUCUAUAUAAACAUCUACCAUUUUUUUUUUUUUUUUUUGCAAUAUGUGGUACCUCGUCAAGGUGCAAAAGAAUCAAUUGGUGCGAAAAAUUUGUAAUUCAAUCAAAUCAAUUCCACGGGCCUCAAAAAAUGAGAAAUAAUAUUGAUGAUAUGACAAUGAUGAAAGCCUCCAUCAAGUUGAUGACGAAAGAGUCAAAGCCUCGAUCAAGGAAGGCAGCUGAGUGUAGCAUGCAUGAACCAACAAUGAACUCUGGUUUACCAUUUAGUUAUGAACAAUAACAGGAGUGUUCAACUUUGAUUUACCUUUUUGCUAUGAACAAUUUCAGGAGUCGUCAACUCUGGUUUAAUAUUCUGUUAUGUGGAGAAACCUCCUUAAGAUGUUUUCACUGUUGUUUACACGGUGGGGCACAAGUAAUUAAUACUGCAUUUCUUUGGAAAAGGCGAAGCCUAAGGGAUACAAUUGGGAGUGGAUGAGUAAAACGGGGAAACCAAAUUUGCCCAACCUAACCAGAAAAACUACCGUAGCAGUUGUGUAUACAGAAAGAGCAUUUAUAUGUGCAGAAAGAAAAGACGCCCAAACCCCUUCAUUUGAUGCCUUGUGCAACAGAUGCGGAUUGGGAUAUAUCUGCUCCCAAAAUGGAGAAUAUUGGUGCUGAAGUAAUGUGCUGAAUAUUGUUAUUAGAAUGGGAUGAUAUGUCAUUUUGAAGGCGAUGGAGUUUUGGUUAGUUGUUUGUCACGAGCGCUCUGAGGCUAGUGGAUGUAGGUGGCAUUAAUUGUGGGUUGGUGUGGUUGUGUUGUUGGUGGGGAUUGAAAUGCUUAAAUAUUGAUUCAAUCACUAUGGAGGGAUUUUGAUAUAUUUUUUAUAUGAAAGAAAGUGAAAGCAUUUAUCAGGUUUCCUCUUGAGCUUUAGAGAUCUUUAAUCAAAUUAGAAGCCUUAGAUAUAUUUUUUUUAUGAAAGAAAGUGAAAGCAUUUAUCAGGUUUCCUCUUGAGCUUUAGAGAUCAUUAAUCAAAUUAGAAGCCUUAGUAAUGAUAUUCUGGAAAAAUAAAAAGUAUUGUUUCUAAGAAGGUUGUCAAAAAAGUUUGAUCAUGUAGUUGCUGCAAUUAAAGAAUCCAAAGAUUUCUUAAGAACCAGAAUUAAUGGAGCCACUUAAAACCACAUGAGCAAAGAAUCAACAAGCAUUCCAUUUCACCUAUGGACUAAGCUUUUCAAUCAAAAACCAAUGUUGCUGAUAACAAAGGUUUUAGGCAGAGAAAGUAAAAGGACGGGGGUUUUGGGUAAUGGGCCUAUCUAAGGCCCUCCUCUGUGUCUUCAAAGUUGGUCUAGUUUGGGGCCAGGAUUAAAACUUGGCUAGCGUGAAUGGCCCAAGAAGAAAAAUGGCAAAGUAAGAUGUGGAAGAGCUAAGCAUGAGGAGUAGUGGAGAUAGUUAGUGCUUGGAGUUGUAACUACUUAAAAUGGCAAAGAGAGAAUCAAUAAUGAGGAGGAAAAUGCCCCCAUAGACUCUACACCUAUCGAUAGAUGAAGGGUAUAUCAAUGCAACUGGCUAGGCCAUCACCAAGAGAGAGGUAAGAAAGAACAAUAAGAAAUACUCUUUUUUUAUAAAUAAAAAAUAAAAAAAACAAAAAAAACCCCAACUAACUUAACUAUUGGAGAAGCUUAUCUCAGGGCUAUACCGGGUAAGCCUUGUGUUGCAAGUAAAAAACGCACGGCAAGUAGAAGAUUAUAGCUUAAGAAAUUUUCAACUCCAACAAGUGGCGUCAUUUGUGGGAAGUUUCUAUGUUGAAGUAUAGCUUUCACUUUGAACUUGACGUAGAACCCUUUUCUUUUUGUCUGGAGUUGGAAGUUAGACAAUGGGAGACAAUUAGUUGUGGGAUUCAAUUAGUACAACAAUCCCCCGGAUGGCCACUACCUCAAAAACUCUUUGCGAGGGUUUUGAAAGAUUCUAGGUGGAGCAGGAAAGGAGAAUGGAAUCCAUUCUUGCUCAAACUGAGUUGCUAAAGCAAGAAAAUGCCUUAUUGCAGAAACAACUAGAAGAUCGGCAGGUUCGCAGUCAAAUGUUGCAUCAACCAGCAAGCAAUCUUGAUCAUAUACGCCAGCAAGAUAAUGAUGACAUGGUGGAGCCUUUAGAUCAUGCAGUUCCCCUUGGUCAAGCUCCUCACACCAUCUUAAACUCGCAUAGGGGACACCGCCCAUCUGAUGCUAGGAUUCCAAGAAUGUUGGUCACUGAAAAAGUCGAUGAGGUAGACAACACCUCUCGGCGGGGAUCCCAACACCCAUUAUAUUCAAACUCAGGUAGCCGACAACAAAUGAGAUUGCCCUAGGUUGAAGUCACGAGAAGGAUGGCUCGACCCCUGUCUUUAGCAGUUUGGCUCCCUCAGGAACGUCCAAACGAAUUGCCCCUAAGGGCCACAACUUGCCACUUGAAUGAUAUGAUGACAAUGUCAUUUGAUCAACAUAUUAUGAUGUAUGAACCCCCAAGAGGAUACACCAUUCCUAAGUUCGUCAUGUAUGAUUGUACAUAUGAUUCAUUCAACCAUUUAAUGCAUUAUCAAAAAAUGAUGACGCUAGAUAUCGACAAUGAUGAACUCCCUUUGUAAGGUGUUCCCAACGAGUCUCCAGGGCAUUGCCCUAGCUUGGUUUCACCGGUUUUCCCUUAAUUCUAUUCACUCCUUUAGGGAGAUGUCAGAAGUCUUCGUUGCGCACUAUUUGUGCUUAGCAAGGCAGAAGUUUAAUAUAAGUAGUCUUCAGAACUUGAAUAAAAUAGAAAGUGAGACUUUGGGUCAAUUCAUGCAUAGAUUCAACCAAACAAUGCUCUAGAUAGAAAGAUGCAAUAUGGAUGCUUUACUACAAGCAUUCAAACGCAACAUUGGCCUUGGGACUCCAUUCUUUGAAUGUCUCUCGAAAAAAUCGCCAUAAAUAGUCAAUGACUUGUUUAGAAGGGCCAAUAAGUAUGCCCUGUUGGAAGAAGAUUUACAGGUUGUUGCCAGCCCUGUUUUGGCAUCAACACAGACAACACGAGCAAGAAAAAAUGCAGGAAACAAACGUCAGGGCCCGGGUAAUCCCUCAUAAGACAAGAAGUCAUGUAGGAAUCAGAAAGACCAAAGAACACCCCGAUGGUGGACCCCACUUAGCUUGACUUAUGGACAGUUGCUUCCCAUUAUGAGUAGUUUGCCCGAUUUCAAGUGGUCUUUCGCUCUCAAGGGACUCACCGCAAUGAGAUCAAACUCGACAUUGUGAAUAUCACAAAGAACAUGAACAUACUAUAGAGGAAUGCCGACACUUUCGUUAUUUGGUGGAGGAAUGGUGAGAAUCAGCUUGAUCUCCCAAUAUGUCGAGAAAAGUGAACGAUUGACCAUUGGGAGUAACAAGCAAGUUGUAGCUGGCAUGGUUUAGCCAGAUGGAACCCUGCCAAUCAUUCACAUCAUUCAAGGAGGGCUUGUGGAUCAAUGCUGGAAGUCAAAGCGCCGUCGACGAGCAAUGAUCUAAGAAGCAAUCGAUGUCGAGAAGAUUAGCAUGGAACAAUAUUCCUUUGUUCCAGGGACAAUGGAACCUAUGGAUGGGGUUGUCUAUUUUAGCCCUUGGGAUCCGGCCUUGGUAAUAGUGCCCCAUGAAGAUGCUCUUCUCUUGUCACUCAAAAUUGCUAGAUUCCAAGUCUGUCAAGAAUUAGUUGAUCCUAGUAGUUCAGUUGAUUUUCUCCACAUCUCGGCUUUUGAGUAGAUGGGCAUCCCAAUUUAUACUUUAGGAGGCCCAGAUUGAGUACUAACAUACUUCAAUAGCUUAACAUCCUGGUCUUUGGGGAAAAUAAUUUUGCUAGUAGAAGCCAGCCUUACAGCCCUAAACGCCUGCUUUUCAGUCAUAUUAAAUCCUUCGCCUUAUAACACUAUACUGAGAAUAGAAUGGAUUCAAAAAAUGAAAGCUACCUCAUCAACUUAUCACCAAAAAGUCAGUUUCCUUAGAAAAAUGGGACAGGUUGAUCUAUUUGGAAGCUAACUAGCAGCAAGGCAAUGUUAUCAGGUAAAUGUCAGGCUUGUAGGAGAGGAAAUCGAAAGUGUCUGCACUGACAGUGAGGCCCAACAGAAAUAACAAUUACUAAAAAAAGGGGAAUGAGCAAGAGCCUCUAGUCGUUGACCCACUCGUUUGCAUAGAAAUACAAAAUGGGGGACGAUAUAGAGUUACUUAUGUUAGCUUUAUGCUGACAUAGCAAGAGAAAUAGCUAUUAGUAAACCAACUAGAUAAGAAUGCCAUACUUUUUCUUGGAAGUUUUCUAACAUGUGAGGAAUAUCCCCUGAAGUGAUUAGCCUUAAACUUGGGAUCCACCUAGAAUCAAAGCCUGUUUAUCAGAAAGUAAGGAGACUCAAUUAAAAAAAGUAACAGAUAGUUCAACAUGAAAUAUCCCGAUUGCUCGAUGUGGGAUUCAUUCAAGAGGCUAGCUAAUGUAGUAGUUGUGCCAAAAAAAAAGGCAAGUGGAGGGUCUGUAUUGAUUUUACUAACCUAAAGGAGGUGUGCCCAAAAGAUAGUUUCCCUUUACCACACAUUGAUCAAACAGUUGAUGCCACUUCAAGGCAUAAAAUGUUUUCAUUUAUGGAGGUCUUUUCUGGCUAUAAUCAGAUUCCCAUAUAUCCUCCUGAUUCAGAAAAGACAACAUUCAUAACCCCUUUCAGAACUUUUUGUUACAAUGUUAUGCCUUUCGACCUUACGAAUGCAGGAGCCACUUAUCAGCGACUCAUGACAAAGAUAUUCUAUCUUAUGUUAGGCAAAACAACGAAAGUUUAUAUAGACGAUAUACUUGUAAAAAGCUAGAAACAGGAGGAUCACUAUGCAAAUUUACGACAAGCUUUUAACCUAUUGUCGCACUUUGGGAUGAAGUUAAAUCCAACUAAAUGUGCAUUUGAUGUAUCUAUUGGUAAGUUUUUGGGUUUCCUAGUCAUAGAGUGUGGUAUAGAAAUAGAUCCUACUCAAAUAAAGGAAGUACAAGAGUUACCUUUUCCACGUAAUAAAAAAGAAGUACAACAUUUAAUAGGAAAAAUGGUUGCAAUAGCCCGUUUUAUCUCCCAAUACACUGACCACCCGAAGCCUUUCUUUAAUGUAAUAAAGAAAACCAAGAUCUUUGAAUGGACAGUGGAGCACGAGGAUACACUCUUAGUUAUAAAGAACUAUUUGGUUUCGCCCCCAAUCUUAAAAAGUCCUCAAUUGGGAAAUCCCCUAUUUUUGUAUCUAGCAACAUCAAAAUUGGCAAUUAGUGCGGUUUUGUUUAAGUUGGGCCUUAAUGGAAGUCAAUUACCAGUCUAUUAUGUUAAUAAGGCGAUGCUACUGGCCGAGCAAAACAAUUCCCUACUAGAAAAGGUGGCGCUGGCCUUGUGAGUGAUCUCAAAGAAGUUGUGCCCCUACUUUUAGGUGUGCCAGGUGAAUGUUUUAUCUAAUGUCCUUUUUCGGGCUAUCUUACAUAGGCCUGAGUUGUUUGAGCAACUAGUAAAAUGGGCCACAUAGUUGAGUGAAUUUGGUUUGCUGUAUUUACCCCAUUUGUCACUCAAAUGACAAGUCUUAGCAGACUUUAUUGUUGAAUGGCCAGAUUCUAAAGUCGCUCAGACCAAAUGUCAAUGGAAUGCUGGAUUCUUUAUGUUGAUGGAGCGUCACGUGGUGUAGGAGCGGGAAUAAGGCUUGUCCUGCAAUCCCCCAUAGGAGAAUGCUUGGAGCAGGUAGUUCGGAUGGGUUUUUGCACUUUAAACAACAAGGCUGAGUAUGAAGUCAUGCUUGUCGACAUAGGCCUGGCAUUGUCAGUCCAAGCUAGCCACCUCAAUAUAUGGAGUGACUCACAGCUAGUGGUAAACCAAGUGCAAAGCGAUGAUGAAUUAAGAUAUGUUAGAAUGAUGAGGUAUCUUGAUAAAGUUAAGCUUCAGCUUCAAAAAUUCAAUGAGUGGAAGAUGACUCAGAUCACUAGGGAAGAGAAUGCUCGGGUAGAUGCAUUAGUCGAGGUAGCAAUUUCCUUAGCAGUUACGCAAAUAGUAACUUUGCCCAUUUAUUAUCAAGACAAUCCAUCAAUACUAAAAAAAGGCCAGGUAAGUCAGGUGUAUGAUGCCCAAGGAAGUUGGAUGGGACAGAUUAUUAAGUAUUUGGAAGUAGGGGAACUCCCAGAGGAUGAGCAUCAAGUGCAAUAACCACACUGGUCAAGGUCUGAUGCAACCAAGUCCUUCCUAGUUUCUCCUUUAUGAGGUAUUGAAGGUAUUUCCCAUCAUACUUGGGCCCAACUAUUGAUCUCAAUAUGUUCAUGAUCUAGCCAAAAAUACCCUUGCCAUUAAACAAAUUUUUUUUUUGUUAGUUACCAUAUGAAAUUCCAAAACAAAACAUAAUCCUAGGUUUUCACAUACUCUAAUAUUGUUAAUGUUACCAUAUAUAAUUUAGGAAUCAUAUUGGUUGUACAUAUAGGAAUGUUAAUGUUACCAUAUACAAUUUAGGAAUCAGUUAGACUCCAUGUAUAGGAUAUAUAUCAGUAUAUAGAUGGAUGCAGUGAAAUAUAAAAAAACUUAUCAGAGUUAUUAGAGCAAGGUUUCGACACCUUCCGAGUGGAGUUCGUGAUCUUCUACCAAUCAAAUACUUGGCAUCGAAAACAGUGUUGAUUGGGUUCAUCGCGACCUAGUUCUUGGCCGUUUCUAUUCCAAUUCUCUUGUGGGCUAUUUCCUUUGUCUCUUGGUUGCAUCAUGUCAUCAGAUAAGUUGGAAUCAUUUCCUAUUAGAUUUACUAGAAAAAAUUAUUGUGCUUGGGAGUUUCAAUUUAAAUUAUUUGUUAAAGGAAAAGAAUUAUGGGGUCAUAUUGAUGGAGUAAUCUUGCACCUCGUGAUGCCAAGGCUUUGUCUAAGUGGGAAGGUGAGGAUGCUCGGGUUAUGACUUGGAUCCUUAGAUCGGUUGAACCUUGUUCUCAAUAUGAGGUCUUAUAAAACUAUUGCUACUAUGUGGAAUUAUCUCCACAUGGUUUACAAUCAAGACAACUCUGCUAGGCAUUUUCAAUUGGAGUAUGAGAUGGCUAAUUUCACACAAGGAAGUCUCUCAAUUGAGGAAUAUUUUUCUGGUUUUCAAACUCUUUGGACUGAUUAUUCUGACAUUGUUUUUGCUAAUGUUCCCGCUAUAACUCUCUCUGUUGUCCAAGCAGUGCAUGUAACCAACAAGCGAGAUCAAUUCUUGAUGAAGCUACGACCCAACUUUGAAAUUGCAUGGUCUAAUAUGAUGAAUUGUCAUCCUGUACAAUCUCUGGAUGCCUGCUCAAGUGAACUUAUGCUUGAGGAGCAGCGUAUCAUAACUCAAGCUACCAUGGAACAUCGUGCUAAUGUUAGUGCACCUGUUUCAGUGGCUUAUGUAGCACAAGGCCAGAAUAAGGGUUGAGACAUGCGUGUUGUCCAGUGCUUUAGUUGUAAAGAUUUUGGUCACAUUGCUUAGGAUUGUCCCAAGAAGUUCUGUAACUACUGCAAGAAACAAGGUCAUAUCAUCUCUGCUUGUCCCAUUCAGUCUGAAAGGAAGUAGGGUACUGCUUAUCAUGCCUCCACCUAUGCCUCUAGUUCUGCUGCAUUGCCUGUUGCCUCGUCGGUUGUUCCUAUUCCUGCUCCUACAGUCUUAGAAAACUCGAACACACUCACUCCUGAAAUGGUACAACAAAUGAUCAUUUAUGCUUUUAAGCUCUUAGGUAAUCAUACGGUUUCUUCUAAGCCAUGGUAUUUUGACUCUGGAGCUUCUAACCAUAUGAUGAAUACUGUUAUUUUUCUUUCCAAUGUCAAAAAUUAUGAUGGAAAUCUGAAAAUUAACAUUGUUGAUGGUAAUUCUCUGCCUAUCAGUGCUGUUGGGGAUCUUUCAUCUUCCUUAACUGAUGUUUUUGUGUCUCCUGACCUCUCCACAAAUCUUAUUUCUGUUGGUCAAUUGGUUUAUAAUAAUUGUAAUGUCAAUUUCUCCCAUUCUGGUUGUGUUGUGCAGGAUCAAGUGUCCGAGAAGAUGAUCGCAAAGGGGCCUAAAGUGGGACGACUCUUUCCUCUUCAUGUUUCUCCUUCCACUAUUAUUCCUAGUUUUGCUUUACUUUCAUUUGCAUGUAAUGUUGUUAAUUCUGGACAUAAGAUGUGGCAUAGACGUCUUUGCCACCCAAACUGUGAUGUACUUCAUACUUUGUUUAAUUUUGGAUUAUUGGGAAAUAAAACAUGUUCUUCUCUUGAUCAUUCUUUCGAUUGUACGUCAUGCAAACUUGGAAAAAGUAAAGUUCUACCUUUUCUUCAUUCCAUAUCUAGUGCCUCACAAUGUUUUGAUAUUAUACAUAGUAAUGUUUGGGGGAUUGCACCUAUUGUUUCUCAUGCACAUUACAACUACUUUGUUACUUUCAUUAAUGACUUUAGUCGCUUUACUUGGGUUUAAUUCCUCCGAGCUAAGGCUGAAGUUUUUUCAAUCUUUAAGUGCUUUCUUGCACUUAUUGAGACUCAAUUCUCUGCUAGCAUCAAGGUCUUGCGCUCUGAUUCUGGCAGAGAAUACAUGUCUAACGAGUUUCAGGACUUUUUUCAAAGCAAAGGGAUCAUCUCUCAACGUUCUUGUCCUUCGACACCACAACAAAAUGGUGUUGUUGAGAAGAAAAAUCGCCAUCUUCUUGAUGUGGUAAGAACUUUUUUACUUGACUCAUUGGUUUCUCCUCGUUUUUGGUGUGAAGCACUUUCUACUGCAAUUCAUUUGAUCAAUCGCUUACUCUCUCCUAUGUUAAAUCAUGUAUUUCCUUUCUCUAAGUUCUUUGGUCAUUCUCCUUUAUAUUCUGAUCUUCAUACAUUUGGUUGUGUUUGUUUUGUGCAUCUACCUACUCAUGAACAACAUAAACUUACUGCUCAGUUUGUUAAGUGUGCUUUUCUUGGUUAUGCUAUUCCUCACAAAGGUUAUGUUUGUUAUGAUCCCCAUGCUCGUCAUAUACAAGUUUCUCAGAAUGUGAUUUUCUUUAACAAUCAAUAUUUCUCUCCAUUUCAUGUUGAGCUACCAUCUACAUCUGUAUCUCUUCUGCCUAGUUUUUCUGAAUCCCCAACAAUUGUGGAAAUGUUUAAACCUGGUUUUUUGUAUGAAAGAUAUAGUCAACAUGAGUCCGAUUCCACUUUCUCUGUGUCCUCUUCCGAUCUUGACCUGACGCCUGAUCCUGCUCCUGCUUCCACCACUCUUCGUUGGUCUACUCAUCUUUCUCGACCCCUUGAUUGGUAUGGAUUCUUCUCUCCUCUCUCUCUUAUUGCUACUUAAUCCACUAUUUGUAUUCCCUUUUGCUACAAACAUGCCAUGGAACAUGAGUGUUGGCAAAAUGCAAUGCAAGUAGAACUUCAAGCACUUGAGAAGAAUCAUACUUGGGAUAUUGUUCCUUGUCCUUCUACAAUCAAACCUAUUGGGAGUAAAUGGGUUUUCUCUAUAAAACUUUGUUCUGAUGGCUCUUUGGACCGGUACAAAGCUCACCUCGUAGCUCUGGGUAACAAGCAGGAAUAUGGGGUUGAUUAUGAGGGGACAUUUGCUCCUGUUGCUAAAAUGACCGUGGUUCGGACCAUCUUAGCUAUUGACGCUUCAUAGUCAUGGCAACUACAUUAGAUGGAUGUAAAGAAUGCUUUCCUUCAUGGUGAUCUCCAGGAAGAGAUUUACAUGAAGCUUCCCUCUCGUAUGAUUAAUUCUUCUCCUCAUGAUGUCUGUAAGCUAAAACAUUCUUUGUAUGGGCUCAAGCAAGCGCCCCGGGCUUGGUUUGAGAAGUUUCGCAGUACAAUUCUUUCUUUUAGUUUUACCCAAAGUCAGUAUGAUUCUUCCCUCUUCUUCCACACGUCUGUGUUGGGUAUAGUCCUUCUCUUGGCUUAUGUGGAUGAUAUUAUCAUUACUGGCACUAACUGUGGUUUGAUUACUAAGCUUCAGCGGAUGUUACAUACAACUUUCCAUAUGAAAGAACUUGGACAUCUCACAUACUUCUUAGGAUUAGAAGUUCAUCAUCGGGCUAGUGGUAUUUUCGUGAACCAACAUAAGUAUAUUCAAGAUCUUAUCACUUUGGCUAGUUUGGAGGACACUUAUUCUGUUGAUAAUCCUAUGGAGGUAAAUGUCAAAUACAGGAAAGAUGAAGGGGACCUUCUGGAUGAUCCUACUCUCUAUUGGCGCCUAGUUGGGAGUCUUAUCUACAUGACCACUACUCGACAUGAUAUCUCCUAUGCUGUUCAUCAGGCCAGUCAGUUUAUGACUUCUCCUCGACAUCUCCAUCUUGCUGUAGUUUGACACAUCAUCCGCUAUCUUCGAGGUUCACCUACUCGUGGGUUAUUCUUUCCUACCGGCUCCUCUCUUCAACUUGUUGCCUAUGGUGAUGUUGAUUGGGCUAGGUGUCUGGAUACACGUCGAUCUACUAUGGGUUGGUGUAUGUUUUUAGGUGAUGCCUUAAUUUCUUGAAGAUGUAAGAAACAAGAUUGUGUUUCUAAAUCCUCUAUUGAGGUUGAGUAUCCUGCCAUGUCUACUGCUUGUUAUGAAAUUAUAUGGCUACGCGGUCUUCUUGAGGAGCUUGGGUUUCCUCAGACUACUUCUACACCUCUUCAUGUUGAUAACACUAGUGCUAUUUAGAUUGCCACCAAUCCUAUUUUUCAUGAACGUACCAAGCACAUUGAGGUUGAUUGUCAUUUUAUUUGAGACACCUUGGAAAGUCGGGUGAUAUCUCUUCCUCAUAUCUCUUCUGAUCUCCAAGUGGCUGAUAUCGUCACCAAAGCUUUGACUUGACAGCGACAUCAAUUUCUUAUUGGCAAAUUGUUGCUGGUUGACUUACCAGCAUUAAUUUGAGGGGGGAUGUUAAUGUUACCAUUUACAAUUUAGGAAUCAUAUCGACUGUACAUAUAGGAAUGUUAAUGUUGCCAUAUACAAUUUAGAAAUCAUAUUGGCUGUACAUAUAGGAAAAGAUUGACGGAUUGGCUUACCAUGUAUUUGUUAAUGUUACCAUAUACAAUUUAGGAAUCAGUUAGACUUCGUGUAUAUGAUAUAUAUUAGUAUAUAGAUGGAUGCAGUGAAAUAUAAAAAAACUUAUCAGAGUUAUCCAUUUCUGUGGAGUUUUUUUUUUAGUAUUUUGACAUCUAUAUGAAUCAAUCUUUAAAAGAGAAGCAAGAACAAUCAAGUAUCAAAUACUAACUUCUCUGUGGAAAUAUUUUAGGGCCAUGCUCAAGAUAAAAGGGCUUGAUGUCUUGGGCUGCAAAUAGAGGACGUCUCAGAUCAUUCGGAGCAAACCGUUUAAGAAUUAAACCAGUCACGAACCGCCUAAACCGGCAGUCGGACCGGUGACCUAGUGGAAUGGGACGGUUCUAAUCAAACCGAACAGUUCUAGUUGGACCACCAUUUUAAAGGCUCCUUUGUAUAAAAAGAUUUGGCAAAAGCCCAUGCUAGGCCUUGUCUCAUAAUGACAAAGCCCAUACCCCACUCAACCAUAUUGUGGGCUAAGGCUUGAGCCCACCAGAUGAGGCAAUGCAUUAGCCUUCAAUAUGGAUAGCUUCUAUAGCCAUCCUAGGAGGUACAUAGUUUUUGUUAUCUAAUAUGCCAAACAAAAUAAUAUAUAUUAGAUUUAAAAAAAAUUUGUAAUAUUAAAUAAAAAUAAUAUAAUAUUUUAAAAAAUUAUAAAAUUAGUUUAAAUUUUCAUUUUUAAUAUAUUCACAUUAAAAUAUUUUGCAUAUUUCAUUUAAUAAAAUUAAAAAUAUCAAUAUGAUUUAAUUUGAUAAUAUUAUUGAUUUUUAAUUUAUUCAUAUAUAAUUUAAAAUUUUUAUAAUUAUUUUUAAUUUUAAUAAUAUAUAAAUUAUAUAUUUAUUACGUCACUGGUUCGACCGCCGGUCUGACCAAUGAACCGUGAACUGGUAACUUUUCCGGUUCGAUCACCGAUCCGGUUCUAAAAACAUUGGUGACCACACUUUCCUAUAUUUUUUGAAGACUUUAUGAUUGACGAGUAGGUAAUGUGAUAUGCUGAUGAAGUCCGCUUCUAGCACAGAUCCCCAUUAAUAGGAUAUUGUUGAAUUGGAGAAUGUUUCCACACGCUCAAAAUGGGGCGUUGUUUUAGCAUCAAGAAAUUGUCGUCUUCAUUAGCUUGUUGGAAUUGGGAUGUAUGACUGAUGACUUGUUAGGAUUUAUCUGAAAAUAAAGUCCAAGCUCUGUCUCUGUCUCUCUCUCUCUCUCUCUUAUAAGGACAGUGAUGAUGGUCCAAAGAAGAAUUCCGAAGCAUGCAGAGAUUCACAACUGCAAGUAAUUUACACACAGAGUGAAGGCGGCUGGCCAGAUUUAACAUGAGAAAAUCAUGAUUAAUACAUGAUUCUUCACCAAUAAUUGAGUUGAAUGAGUCUACUAUUCAAAUCACAUUGUUAAAAAGAAAAACAGAUAAUAAAGAUUCAAAUCACAUUAUUAAUGAGUGGGCCGGUCUCAUUUAAGAACACGAUUUGACAUGCAAAAUUAAUGGAUCCAUCCAUAUACAACAUCUACCACAACUCAUGAGAAGAGAUUCUGGUUGUUCUAAUAAUUCACCAUUUUUCUUCAUGGAAUUAGUUAUGAAAUAGUCCCAAUUUAGUACUAAUAGAGAGAGUAUCAAGGAAAAUAUUUGGUAGGUGGGCGGUGAAUCAAGUUAAUUAGAUGGUGAAGAAAAACUAAUGAGAGAUGAACUUAAUCAACAAGUUGUACCUCUUUUUUCUGUAUAAUAUGCUAGUUAAUCCAACUGUGUUAGACAUUGCUGCUACUUACAAGUUAUUUUACUUUAUUAUUCAUUUUUUAAUGUUGGGGGAGGUACUGUCGUUUCAUUGAAAACGAUGUUGUAUUACUUGGCAAACAAAGAUGGUGGUAAGUUUAGAAUAAUGCAAUAUAUGAUUUGCAUGCUUUAUUCCUUGGUAAUACUAUGAUUUUUACUAUAAUCCAACUGUGUUAGACAUUGCUGCUACUUAUAAUUGCGGAACAAAAGGUAAUAACUCUUGCUUGAAAUCAAAUUAAUUCCUGAUAUUCCUUUAUUUUUUAUAUGUACACAAAAUGGCCUUCAUCAUAAGUGCUCUGCAAACGAACUGUGUGCUCCUUGAAUGUGGAGAUAUGGCUGCUCCCACGAAGUUUCCAUACCACAUUUUGAAGUAUAGCUAGUUCUCGUUCUGAUAUUAAUCCACACUAAUGCUGGCAGCUUCCAAAACUGCAUAAUUCCAUGUUUUCCAUCUUUUUUUUUUCCCCUGUAUAUACACAUUAUAACGUCCAUGUUACAUGGUUAAUAACCAAAGGAAGAUAAAUUAAUGAACAUGCAAAUGAAUGCUCAUGCUUACAAGAUGAUUGUUUUGAUCUUCUAUGAUAGUGAAACGACGUUGAUCUCUUCUAUAUAUAUAUAAUUAGUACAACUAACAGUCUGCAUCCUUCUAUUCUUGUAUUUGUGUACUGGGGACAAAUCGUUCUUUGUAUUUGUGUACAAGGGACAAAUCAAAUCAUGAGGAUCACAUGACAACACGGCACCAUGCUCAUCACAAAUGUUGUUCAUUUGCUAGCUCAUGAAACAUAUGGUGUGGGCAACCAGGACAAAUCAACUAAUCAUAACAUGCACGACAUUAUGUUCAUGAAACAUAUGCUAAAUAUGGUGUAAUAAACUUAAAAAAAAAAUUAGAGAAAGAGCGUACGUAAGGGAAACAAAAAAAAAAAAAAAAAAAAAAAAAACUAAUUAAAAACAUGAUGAAGAUGACAAGAUGGUGAAAGAGAUUUUUCACCAAACAUUUGAUUAUUAACUAUAGAAACGUUUGACUAUGUAACACUGCUACCUUUUUUUAAUAUUGGGGUAGGUACUGUCGUUUCAUUGAAAAUGAUGUUGUAUUACUUGGCAAACAAAGAUGGUGGUAAGUUUUGAAUAAUGCAAUAAAUGAUUUGCAUGCUUUAUUCCUUGGUAAUAUUAUGAUUUUUUACAAAAAUAUUCUUUAAUUGACUUGGGCAGUGUCGGGUCCAGAAAGGCUGCAUCAGUGCCUAGUGAUUCUCAAUCAGAUGUAUAUCUGGACCAUUAGGGAACCAAGAUAAUAUUUUUGAUUGUGUCGCUAUUGUCCUUUAAAACUAUUUAUCCUUGCAUCUAAAUUAAUAAUUUGUUUUCUCAUGCUUGUAGUUUUUGAAAUAAAGUUAAUUCAGGUAGACCAGUUUUUAAUCAGACCUCCAUGCAACAUAUCUUCCCAUCCUACCCAAGAGAAGCUACUGAAAGCUCCCAUGACUGAAGAGAGACAACAAGGAUUCUAUCCUUUUGGAUCGACCUAGCACUAUCUUUUAGAUUCUAUCCAUCUAUUUGUUCUCAUCUUAUUUCUGGGAUAUAUAUAUAUAUAUAUGUUUCAACCCAUCUCAGUGUCUCUUGUAGAUUUAUAAAGGAUAAGUAUUAUUUCUAGUCCAUUCUAAUUAAUUGCCAUUCCCAUAAUUUAAGUUGAUACAAAAUUAGAACUUAUUCAAGAAAAUAAUGGAAAUAAUUCAAUCUAGCUUGUCAUUAAAAUGUUGUGAGAAAUAGAGGUCGCAUUAAAUCACAAUGAGUUUGAAUUGCAUAGACGCACGCACAAAAUCAGAACCAUAGAAGAAAUUCAGUGGAAUCUAUGGACUUACAAUACCUUAAUACUAGAAACGCUUAAAUUGGUUAUUAAAAAUAUCCCAUUUGGGAUUUAUUUUUACAAUAAGAAUAGUGAAUUAAAAGGCAGACAUUCAGAAACGGGACUCCAACUUAACUAGAAAUUCAUUACAACAGUAGGAAUCAUUCAUAUCAGACAACGACCAAUCCUUUAGAAGCGGCAGCAUGUCCAUGUGGUGACCUAGUAUCUCUACGUUGCUUCUCUUGGGAGAGUAGUCUUGCAAAACUGAAAAAUUAGAAGGAUUUUUUAUUAUCAUAUGAUUAGUUAAUUAACUAAGAAAGCUCUAGAAUAAAACUCUAAAAAUAGUUAGAUACCUUGUGAGAGCCUCCUCGUUGGUCUCGUGAUUUGAAGGCUCAAAGAUACCUGUAUCCAGGUUAACCCUUGAGACCCUUUUCUUUAACAACUCCUCACCAAUUUUCACAAGAUCAUCCAAAUUUUCCUUUGUGGCUAUGUCGACUGAUGAUGUUAUACCGCUCAAUGUAUCAUCCUGUAUUUACCCUUUGUGUCAGUAUCAGUGGUAGACAAGGAACAGAAGAAGCAAUUGACUUUCAGAUAUUUUUAGGACUGAGGAAAUUAUGAAGAAGAACAAAAUUUAAAUAAGAAAUUUGACUUUGUAAGUGACGGUAAAUUUAUGAAACCACAAGCAGCAAAGCUGUACCUGUAUCCGAAGAUAGCUUUUUUCCGAGUGAAAGGCUUGAAAAAGCUCUGAAAGGUGUAAGUCGAUCAUAUCUCCGCUUGCUUGGGUAAACACUUUCACUAAGGGGGUGGAACCACCACUGGUCAACCACCCCAACACACCCCACNNNNNNNNNNNNNNNNNNNNNNNNNNNNNNNNNNNNNNNNNNNNNNNNNNNNNNNNNNNNNNNNNNNNNNNNNNNNNNNNNNNNNNNNNNNNNNNNNNNNACUACCUUUGUAACAUGAGGAAUUGGAUCAUGACUGCAUUUAAAAGAAAGAUCAUGUUAAUAACUACAAAAAAUAUUGAAGUCUAGUUAAUUUUAUAUACAUAAAUACUAGCAUCCUGUCAUCUUAAUCAAGAUGUUCAUCAUGAUAUAUUUGUUACCUGUGCUGUGGGAAGAUCUUAGGGCAGUGAUCAAGGUAGAAGUCCUUGAUAUCUUUGGCAGAAAACAAGGGUCGGCCAGUGUUUUCAUUGGGAGUAGUUAGCAUGGCAGUCACGAGGCCACCGGUGCUUGUUCCUGCAAUCACAUCAAAAUAAUCUGAAAUUCUCGCGUCUUCACCAUCCAGCUUCUGCACCAUGGCCAAACAAUCUAGUGUUAGUACGUAUAAAAUAUAUCCAAUAUAGGAUAUAAGUUUCAGAUUAGGAAUAUGCUAAUUUUAAAAGGCAAAUGGAAAAGCCAUAUUUUGUUAUUAUCAUGUAAAACCUUAUAUUUCCUACCUGAAGCUCAGACUCCAGGAAGCCAAGGACUGUUCCUGGGAUAAGCCCUCUUAUUCCACCUCCAUCGAUGCUGAGAAUGGUGAUUAGGUUUCCAUAAGUUGGAGGCUGUAGGGGUGAUUUUGGUCCUUCUCCCAUUAGGGAUGGAGUGAUGGAGGUAUGAACUUGAGUGAUGGAGGUAUGAACUUGAGUGAUAGAGGAGAGAAAAUGAGAGACUUAGAAUAGAAUUGAAGUUUCUGCAGGAGACUUAGAAAUGUAGAGAGAUUUGGAGUUCUCUUUGAUAACUAGGCAGGAGUAUUUAUAGACUCCUUAGCAUAUAUCCCUCAUUUUUCUUGCCCAUACUUUUCUAAAUGGACCCGGGAUUCAUCAUUCGGGAUAAGUAGAAAAGUCCACAAGCAAACAGUAUCUUCUUGCUUCAUAGAAGCUAGCCAAAUGGUCAUAGACAUGACUCCUGGCAACUGUAGGUAAGACCAAAGAGAAUAGCUGGUAAGAAGGAUUAGGUGACUCAAUAAAGGUUGAGAUAGGAUGAAUUUUCCUAACUAAUGGAGUUUGUUAACAGGUCAUGGAAACACUAAGUCUUAUGAAAUGACUCUGGUUUCUAGCUAUGUCUGGUGCAAAGAAUCGUGAUGGAGACAAGCCUAAAUGCGCAUACCAAACAAAAAUUUAUUAUUCAAUGCGCACAAUUUUGUGUUCGUAAAUGGAUGCGCUUGACUGGGGAUGGCGAAGAUUUUGAAAGAACACCAACUAGGGCAACGAAAAGUACUGGCCAACGCGGCACUUGCACUGUGAAUGACAAGGGACGGAUAAUUCAAUGUCAAGCAGCAAGGUUUUACAUAAUUUCCUGUUAGACAUGAUUUUUUUGACCUAUUAACCUCAUGCUUUUCAUACUUAAUAUCUGUAUUUGUACACACCAUCAUUGGCUUCUAUAGUUUGUAGAAAACUACAAACUAUUUUUUGUAAUUACAGUUCUAAGUCCUGUGAAUUUUAGAUGAUGUGCAGUGCGAAGACUUGGUUGACUGUUAGUUACUGAGGUUUUCCCACAUCUCCCAAAUGUUAAAAUGAUGAAAUUAUUGCCUAAGAAGCACCUGUUGCAGAAUCAUAUUUGAAGGUAAGAUAGCAAAUUAUAGCUAACUAAAAAUAGGUUGUAUUAUAUUAAACUACAAAAAGUUUUCAGUACUUUUAUCUUUAUCAAUCUGUGUUAGGCACUUAUUUAGCAAGGUUGGAAGUAUGAAGGGUGGCAGCAUCCUUAAUGGACUUCACUUUAUGUCGACCUAACGUGGUCAAUUUGUAUUUAAAGAUUAACUUCACAUCCAUGAACGAAAAAAUCAUGUUUGUUUAUCAUGGUUAGGCAAAGAUGCAACGCAUCUGUGAAGUGAAAAAAAGAAAGGACUGGUCAACCAAGAAAAUCUGUUGGUUGCCCUAGUGAAUUUGUGAACAAUUCACUGGAAGGUUCAAAUUUCUGACACAGCAUGGCCUAUUCACUUUCAUCUUGAGCUUAAUCUAGAACAAAAAUAAUACUACUACAGCCUAAUUAGAACAGCUCUAAAGAGUUGGGAAUUGAUGCUGUAAAUACUUUGUUCCUUAUGGUCUUUGCAUGUUAAUCUUAGCUGCUGGGCUUAGCUGGGCAUUAAUAUUCAGAAAUUCUGAGAAGUCCAUUGCCUGUAUUUCAAAUCCCAAAUUUGAUCCAAGCCAUAUAUAACUUAAUUGAAAACAGUAUAGAUUUGAUCUUUUCAAUCAGUGCCCUUGACCAUUCCACCGUUCCAAAGCCAUCCCUUUGUUUCUAUUUCAUGGAAGCUAACUAUCUAUGCUGUAAUGCCAUCAAUCCAUUCCUGACUCUUUGUGAUGCUUAAUUUAUAACCUCCGAAGUCCAUUUGCUUACAUUCAUGGAAAUAAAUAAUGGAAGACCAUCGCACAAAAUUCUCUCCACGAGCCAUUCCUUCAGUGUUUCUUGGUUACCCACCUGGUUAUAAAGGUUACAAGUUGUUGAAUCUCUCCACCAAUGCCAUAUGCAUUAGCCGUGAUGUAGUUUUCCAUGAAUUUCUAUUUCCUUUUCGGUCCAUUGAUUCAAACUUUUCCUCUUGUGAUUUUUUUUUAAUCGAGUUCUUCCUUCUUCCAUUCACAAUCUUUUUUUUUUUUGUUUCUAAUGAUCCAAAACUUAUCUCACCCCAUACAGUCUUUACCAAACUUGCUGUCCCUUCCACUUCUCGUCCUGUUUGCCUCCCUAAACCACCAUUAUAUCUCCAAGGUUAUCAUUGUUAUUCCACAGUUUAAUCUACAUCUUCUGUAACAUAUCCUCUUUCUAGUGUUCUUGGCUAUGGUAAGCUCUCCUCUUCUCAUCAUGCUCUUGUUCAUGCCAUUUCUUCCCACAUUGAACCAACUUCCUUCUCUCAAGUUGUUGUGAUUCUAGAGUGGUACCAAGCUAUGCAGGCUAAACUUCAAGCUCUUAAACAAAAUGGUACAUGGUCUUUGACAUCUCUUCCUCCCGUCAAACAUCCCAUGGGAUGUAAAUAGGUCUACAAGCUCAAAUUUUGAGCUGAUGGUUCUCUUGAGCGUCACAAAGCUUGUCUUGUUGCAAAGGGAUAUACUCAACAAGAGGGUGUAGAUUAUCUUGACACCUUCUCUCCCAUAGCAAAAUUAGUCAUUGUCAAGUUUUUUUUUUUUUGGCUCUUGUUGUGAUUCAUGGCUGGUUUCUCACUCAACUUGAUGUUGACAAUGCAUUCCUUCAUGGUGAUAUGACCUAAGGAGUUUACAUGUCCCUUCCUCUAAGGUAUCACCGUGAGGGGGAGUCCUUACCUUCCAAUGUUGUUUGCAAGCUUUACAAGUCAAUUUAUGGGUUGAAACAAGCUUCUGGAUAGUGGUUUGUAAAAUUUUAUGGUAUUCUGUUAGCUAAAGGUUUCACACAAUCAACUGUGGAUCAUUCCUUGUACGUUUACCAAAUAUGAUGGUGACUCCCUUAUUGCCUUAUUGGCAUAUGUUGAUGACGUUGUCAUUGUGAUCAACAAUUCCAACCAUAUUGAAGAUCUCAAAAGGUUUCUUGACAACCAAUUUAAGCUCAAAGACCUUGGAUAACUUAAAUAUUUCCUUGGUCUCAGAAGUUCCUAGGACAAGUAAGGGGAUUUCAGUUAGCCAAAUACAUCACGCUCUUCAAUUGCUAUCUGAUAUAGGUUUUUUGGGAUGUAAACCUACAUGUACAUGAAUCGAAGCUAAUAUCCAACUUUCUCAAGAUGAUGGGGAGAUUCUUGAAGAUGCUGGAUUGUAUAGGUGAUUGAUUAGCAAGCUCCUAUAUCUCACAAUCGUGCAACCUGAUCUAUCUUACUCAGUUAAUCGACUUAGUCAGUAUCUUGCCAACCCAAGAUCUACUCACUUGCAAGCUGUUCAUCGAAUUUUACAAUAUAUUAAAGGUACAAUUGGCCAAGGUAUGUACUUUCCUUUUUCUUCAACAACCCAACUCAAAGCCUUUACUGACUCAGAUUGGGGUGCUGUGCUUGUAAAGAUAUAAGAAGAUCCAUCAAUGGGUUUUGCAUUUUUCUUGGAGAAUCAUUGAUUUCAUGGAAGUUUAGGAAACAAAGUACAGUUUCACGCUCAUUAGCUGAGGCAGAAUAUCAAGCAAUGGAAAAUACCACUUGUGAACUAAUCUGAUUGAUGUCUUUCCUUCCUGAUUUUUGCAUUGAACACAAACAACCAACUAUAUUAUUCUGUGACAAUGAGGCAGCACUUCACAUUGCUGCCAAUCUUGUGUUUCACGAACAGACCAAACAUAUAGAAAUUGAUUGCCAUCUUGUUUGUGAGAUGAUACAAACAGGUUGUCUCAAAACAAUGCAUGUAUCUUCUCAACAUCAAAUUGCAGAUCUCCUUACCAAGGCUCUCUUACCAACACAGUUUAAAUUUCUUUUCAACAAGAUGGGAAUUCACAAUAUUCAUUCUCCAAGGGGGAGUACUCGAAUAACAGGGUAUUUUUGUAUUGGUAAUAAAUCCGUUGAAUUUUCUGUUUUGUAAUCUAGUGAGUCAGUUAUGGGUGUAGUUCUCUAGGCUCUAUAUAUAGACAUGCUUUUGGGUAUUUUGAACUGAUCUUCAGAAAACAUGAAUGAAUAACAGAUUUUCGUUGUAAACCCUUUCCCUUUUUCUUCAGAAACAACUAACAAUAUUGAAACCCUUAAUUAACUAGCAUUUUUAUUUACUCUGGAUGAAGAUGGGGCUGAAGGAAGAGUGCUUGAAGUUAAUUUCCUUUGUAACCCAUCCAUUUUGCUUCAGCUAAGAUGAAGGAAGAAGAGAAAUCAGCCAAUUGGAGUUAAGGUAGAUUCAAUUGGAGUUAGGGUUCUCUUACUUUAGCUUAUUGGAUCCCUAGACCCAGCUAAUUAACCAGGAGCACCACCCACCAGCAGUUUAUGUCCAUUGAUAAAUACAAUCCUAGUUAGUUCUACACUGCCACGACCUUAACCCCUGCCUUGAACACCAGACCUUGCUGUCCGGGAACGCUGGCCAGUAAUGGUUAAUAGAGUCCUAGGGAAACCACAGAAAAAUAAGACAUUCAUAGAUUUUUACAUACGUUCAUAGACUCUUGUAUUAACAUUUUUGACUCGUGUAACAUUUGAGGAAAAAAGUGUAAAAAGAAAAUGAAGAAGGAAAUUAAUAGAAGAAAAGAAAAUAUGAAGAAAAAUAAAUAAAAUUUUAAAAUUAAUUAAUUAUUUUUAUAUAUUUCUUUAAAAUUUUAACUAAUUUUAAAAAUAUUUUAAUUUUUUAGUAUUUUUUUAUUAUAAUUUCAAAUUAAAAAAUUAUAUUAAACUUUUUAUUUUUUAUUUUUUAUUAUAAUUUCGAAUAAAAAAUUUCAGCACCUUAGUUUCUUCGGAGAUUUCUCUCUUCAAAUUCCUCUAUUCCCUUCAAAUUAUGUUCUCUCCAGUUCCCAUGGUUGGAACAGCAGCCAGUACUUGGGUAUGCUAUGUCAUUUUGAUGGUGGUGGCGUUUUGGUGAGUUGUUUGUCACAAGCGCUCUGAGGCUGGUGGAUGUAGGUUGGUGGUGUAGUGGGGUUGGUGUGGCACUAUUGUGUUGUAGGUGGGGAUUGAAAUGCUUAAAUUCUGAUUCAAGCUCUCUCUCAUGUCUUUAUUCUUGGACUUUCAGCGCCUAUUUCUUCCGCCACAAUGUGUUUAUAUCAUUUGUUAAUCUGAGACUACUAUUAUGUGAUUCAUGAAAUUUUUGGAAUGAGGUAGUGCACAAUGUGUUUAUAUCUAUGAAGUGUGGAUUUUACCAUUAGCUAGAUACAAGCAACAGGGAAGUGCAAGAUAAUAUGUGUUCGUGUGUGCACCAGAAAAGAAUUUUAACCAGGGUGAAAUUCAAACUGUGGUUGUGGGCUAUAUCUACCGUGCUUCAAUUUUUUGAUAGGGAUAUUUGAUCAACAACUUUUGAAAAGUUUAUGAAUUCAACAAAAUAUCUCUUCAAUAUUAACAUUGCCUUGAAAAUGAUGAAGAAAUACAUCACAUUGACAAUCUUGUCAGGCUGUGCAGGAGAUAUAGUCCUUCUGAAACUUUCACAAUAUUACCCACCAUCAAACCUAAGAUAAUAUUUCACCCAACUUGCCUCUUCUGUUUUUGAUGAAGUAUCACAAUCCGUGAUGGUGUGGGCUCUUGCAUUAAAUUGUGUUUAAGCAUCAUGUCUAAUUUGUUUCAUUUGUUUUGCGAGUGUCAAACAUAUACAACUUUUUUCAUUUUUCGGAUUAAACAAGUUGGUUUCUAGGGAGGAUACUAGGUUUUGUGAUAGUAUGAAGCUAUUUGAUGUUUUCAGUGUGUAAAGAAGAAGUUAGAGGACUCCCUGUACUCUUUUGAUGAAGUAUGUAUGGGCAUUGAAGUCUUGAACGUUAAGCAAAUAAAGAAGUUGUAUAUUGAUAUAAUAAUAUGAGGCAUUUACAUAUGUAACCUUAUGGAGAUCUUUCUGGUCCGCUUAAUUUCAAUGAUGUGUAUUUGCUUUGAAUUUGGGUUCUUGGAUAUGGUCUCAGUUGGAUAUGGCCAUCUUUGGAGGAAUACAAUGUAUGAUCUCAAAUUUAACAGUAUCCAUUUUCUUUGGCAAGAAGAUGAUCUCAUAGAGAUAGUGUGGGAACUUUAGGUAAGAGGACUCUCAAAGAAUUGUAGGUAAGAAUAGUUAGGUGAAGUGAUCAAGCUGAACAUGAGAUGGAUUAUCCUAACCAGUCAAAAACACUAUGCGACAAAGGCCAUACUUUGUUCAUAAAUAACUGUGGUUCAAGUGUCUAGCGACAUGAGAAGGGGGACAUACCUGGUUGUUGCGAUCAAGAAUUGGUAAUUGGCAUUCUGAACAUACUUUAUUAUCAUUAAUUUUUUGUGAGAGGUGGUGCCUUAUCUGGUUGCGGAGGAGUCAAUUGGUGCGGCGAUUAGUAGGUAAUGGAAUUUCCACAUGCCAACAGCCAAUAAUACUAAUGACCAUGAAAGCGUCAAUCAGGGUGGCGCUGAUUGCAGGGCAACCUUGUGCAUCAAGAAUGAUUAGUACUAGAGAAUUCAACAAAUUAAGGUAUACCAUUCUGUUAUUCUUCCAUAAGACUUUCAACGCUGAAUGGGAGAAUAGGUUGGUUUUGACAACUUAGACUGUAGAAGUCUAAGCUUCCAUCUCGUUUUAGCCUAACUUUUUCCUUGUCCAAUAGUUUAUAUUUUCUUUCUUAUUUUCAGUAAAUUUUUUAUGCUAAAAACAUUGGCUUGUUCACACAUUAAUUCUAAUUAAACAGCAUGCAUGACAAUAAAAUACCACUACAUGUUUUUCAGUUGCAUCUCUUUCAGCAUGUUUCAUAAUUUCGAAAUUUAAAAGAAAAAUCCUAUUCCUUUUUCCCCUUAAUCACUGCACCAUGCAUUCAAAGUAGUAAUUCUGUUUUGAGCAAGAUUUGCAUUUCAUAUGCAUAACAACUUCCAUAUGCAGUUAGUGCUCCUUGUGUGACAAAUGGGGUUGAGAGUUGGGGUAUGCUUAUCCUUUUACUGUCAUGGUGAACUGAGAAUGGUUAGUUGUCCAUAAGCUCAAGGGCUUUGUUGGGAGGAAGAGGAAGAAGAAGUCCUUUUACUGUCAUAGAAAACUGAGAAUGGUUAGGUCCAUGAGCUCUAGGUAUUUUCUGGGAAGAGGAAGGCUAAAAGGAAGAAAAAGAAGAUACAACUGAUGUACGAAGAAGAAUCGUUGAAUGGGCACCUAGCCUUCACCGUAUCUUAUUUGAUAAUUGCAACUGGGACUAUAUAUAACUUGAAUAUUAAGGCAUACUACUCAAAUUUUCCACACUUGACCUAACAAAUAAAAUAAGAUAAUCGUGGAAGAUGCUAGCGUAUAUAUCCUAAACUGAUCUAGGUAUCCUAUCCUAAACUACUUUAAAUGUUAAUUAAGGAAUGCAACAUCACUUAAAUAUUGUUGUCUUUCAAACAAGGCACACAACACAUCAAGUUAUCACACUACAUGGCAUUUAUUUAAUAAUAUACUAAUUAAUUGAACUGGAACUGACAAACUUCAAUUUAAGAUUAUUUCUGAUUAAUUUGCUGCACAUCCAUCUGGGAUUUGAAAUCACGAAGGCGUUUCUCUUGUGACAGUACUUCUGCAAACCUGUGACAUUGAGAGCAAUUCGAUCAGUAUUAAUGAAUGAUAGAAGAACAGGUGGCAUAUGUAGAGGGGCUUGUUUAUUAAUCCGGCAUAUUGUUGUUUAUGAUCACAUGCGUUCUCAUCUGAAAUGAAAUUACUAUAUAGUUUUGAUUCAAUAAUUAGUGGACAGAAUUUUAUACAGUAAACAGAUUUACAAUGAGAACUGAAUCUAAGACUAAUUUGAUACCUCAUGAGAGCCUCUUCAUUUGUUUGUUCACUUGAAGGCUCCAAAUUUGAUACCACAAUCAGUUGGCUUUAUAGAAAAGAAAUGAGGAUUUCCCCCACAAAUCUCGUUAGUCACUUCGCCACUGGAAAUUAAAGCCUGAAAGGGAUCAAUAGGAGGUCACAAUUAUUAUAACAAUUCAUCACUCAUUUGUGUUUCAGUAAGAGAUAUACAAUACCGGAUUAUUGGAAGCUACUCCAUCAAUAAGAUUGAAAUUUUCUAACUCUCCCUGUGACAUAAUCUUUGAGAGAUAAGUUGGAGCAGCUAGCUGAAGUUCCUAUGCAUAUCACCGAGAGUAAGGCAUCUAUGCUUGGGUGCUGUUUGACCUAGAUCACCAUGAAUAUCAAUAGUAAGUAAGUUUCUUUUCUGAUAAUGAGGACCAUGAAAAAAAAUGGUGAAAUAGUACAUUCCAAAGAUUUUUGUAUCCAUAACUAACUAAACCUUAAUGUUGGAGAAGAUGGUGAUGAACUACCAAUUUUCUUAAAAACUUAAGUUUGAAGGAUUUGAGUUCAAUAUGCAUAUCAUGCUCCUUAACACCCUCAUGUGAUCCUUAACACCUUCCCUCACAUGCGGUCCCAUCCCUGCACGCGAAGAGAUAAACAAAAUUUGGAUUCAUAUUUAGAAAAACAAACAGGAGAUAUGCAGAUUAAGACCUCCAACCAAACUAAGCUUUAAUACCAUCUUGAACUACUAACUUUUCAAAAAGCUUAAACUUAUAGUAUUUGGGUUCAGUAUGCAUAUCAAAUGAUGGUUAUUCUUUUGUAAUAGGAUGUAAUUAUUCUUUUGUAAUAGGAUGCAUAUUAGGUCUCAUAACCAUUCUUUUACUCAAAGGGUGUCGUAAGUUGACCCUAAGUUAAAUUAUUCUUAAAUUGUUAACUUAAAAUCUUAUUACUUUUUUUUUUUUUUAAAUGUUAAGGUUGUUUGGUAAAGCUAACUUAAAAUCUAUUUUAAAUUAUCAAAUAUUCGUUUUUGUAAUAUUUAGAUUUUCUUAUAAAAUAAAGAAAGUUAUUAAAAAUAUUUUCAUAAAUAUUUUAACUCAUGAGUGAAAAAGGUUAUAAGAUAUAUAUAUGAAGACUAAUAUGUGGUGAAUGGCCAUAUAAUAAAGAAUGGUUGGGAAUCAAUAGUCAUAUCUAGUUUUUGGCCUCUAAUACUUUCUAUGACAUAAUGAUUAAAAUGGUAGACUGUUUUAUUUUUAUAAAGCUUUCGCUAGCAUAACACUACUUCUAACCUAAAAAAUGUAGAAAAUUUUUCAAAAUUAUUUCAAAAUAUGCUUAAUGUUGUGGAAAAGAAACUAAAAUAUUUCAAAACAUUCUAACCUAAAUGUUUUAUAUAUAUUCUCUGUAAUUUCUCUUAAAAACCCCUCCAUAUUCCUCUUUAAUGUUGUGGAAAAGAAACUAAAAUAAAUACGUUAAUGCAUAUGACAAUGUUUCUACUUAAAGUGUAUUUAAUAUAAAUAUUUUUUCUAUUAGUAUUUUUAGGAAAACCAUUUAUCAUUUAUUAAAUGUUUCUUUAAAAAGUGCUAGCUAUAAGUUAAUUUUUCAUAUUUUAAAAAUAUUUUCUUAAUUUUAUCAAAUUCUAUUUUAAUUUUCAAAAAUAAUUUUUUAAAUUAAAAAUACUUUCCAAAAUCAUGACACCAUCGAAUAAAUAUUUAUCAUAGUUAUCAGUUUAAUCACCACAUAAAAAGUUGAUGUGGUCCAAAAUGAUGUAGGUAGGUAGGUGAGCGGGAUUGAAUAAGCAUUUGGAUUGUAAAUUGUUCACUGUUUUUUAAAGUUGUGUAGUGAUAAUUUUUAAAGAAAAGUCGCUCCAAGAACCCUACUUUGACAUGCAGUAGAAUAUAGAGAUGAAAUAUGUGCAAAUGAUCAUCCACAUAUUAUUAAAUAAUUUAUACCUGAAGUUGAGAUUCCAGGCAAGCAAGGAUAGUUGCAGGAAUGAUGCCCCUGAUACCACCUCCAUCAAUACUAAGAAUGGUGACUAGGUUACCAUAAGUUGGGGGCUGGACUUGAGGUAAGAGUGAUUUCUCCAUCUGAAAAAUGAUAAUUAUAGGAUUGUAUGCACUAACUUACAACAAUAAACUAAGAAAUUUCCAUCUUCAUUUGCUUGUUGGAAUUGUGAUGUAUGACUGAUGACUUGUUAGGAUUUAUCUGAAAAUAAAGUCUAAGCUUGCUGCUUCUUCUAGGGUAGCAUACCAUAUAAAGCUCUCUCUCUCUCUCUCUCAUAAGGACAGUGAUGAUUCUUUGUGAUGUAAUUAACAAUGCAUUCCUGAUUCUUUGUGAUGCUUUAUAACCUGGGAAGUCCAUUUGCUUACCAUUUAUCACAUAUAUCGACGUGAUCUGAUCAAGGCAAUAAAUAAUGGCAAUCCUUUAUAGCCCAGCUACUUUUGUUCAAGGGUUUUCUUUUACCAUGCGUACCUUUAAUAUCUCAAAUUAUGUGCAUCAAUUAACAUAUAUGAGAUAGGGGUUCAUGUCUUCCAAGUAUGCACAACUUUCUACCAAAAAGUCUCGCGUGUGGAGGUAUGAUUUAAGGGCUUGGAUGAAAUGAGAAAAAUGAUGGCAAAAUUCUGAAGUUGUUAAAACACUGACUUAACUCGCAUUUUCAUUUACUUUGGAUGAAGAUGGGGCUGAAGGAAAAGUGCUUGAAGUUUUCUUAGUAAUCCAUCCAUUUUGCUUCACCCAAUUAGAUGAAGGGAGAAGCGCAAAUGUAGAAGGUAGAUUCACUUGGAGUUUCUCUUACUUUACCUUAUCGGAUCCCUAGACCUAGCCAAUUAAUUAACCAGGACCACCACCCACCAGUGGUUUAUGUCCAUUUAUAAAUACAAUCAAUUAUAUGCUGCCACGUGCUUCACUGUAACCCCUGCCCUGUAAACCGGUCCUUGCUGUCUGGAAACGCUGCCCAGCAAUGGUUUAAUAUAGUAUGAGAGAAACCACAGAAAAAUCUAUAGGACAUUCAUAAAUUUUUAAGAAUAUGCCUCGAAGACUUACAAUGGUCAAUAGCUGACUACUCUGCCCAUAUGAUUCUUCGUCUGUGCCACACACGGAUCUUUUUAAUUAUUUCGUGUUAAACAAACCCGACUUUGUAGUUUCUGACUUCUUCAGGUUUUUGCUUGUUCCACAUCCAGCAGGUUUUUAACUUUUAUGGAGUCAACAAUUUCAAGCAAGUGACAUCUUAAACGUUGUUUUCUGAAAAAAAAAAAUUUUAAAAAUCAGAAAUCUAACUCACAUAUAUCCAAUAGAAGAUUGUAGCAAAAUUGAAUUGCAAACCAAACACAAAAGAAGUCCAAAAGAAUAUUUCAUUCUUUCACAGUUCAUUAGCAAUAUUACAGUCUACCCGUGAUUAUUCACUCUCUAAACAAUGGUUAUGAAUCUAAAUUAAGGCCGAUUGCAGCUAACCAAACCCAAGCUAAGAGAAAGUUUAUUACAGCACAAUCAAUUAUAGAAGAAAAUAGCUAAUUUUAAAUUGAUGAUGCCCUACAUGCUGCAUGUCCAUGAGGCGACUUAGCUAUGAAGCUUCUUUUCUUGGGAGAGCAGGUUUGCAAACCUGCAGGAUUGAAAGCUACUUAUUGUGAUUGUGAUAUUGAUUCAGAAAAUAAAAAAUAAAAAAUGUAUUUCUACAAACCUUAUGCGAGCCUCUUCAUUGGUCUCCUGAUUAGUAGGAACAAAGAUACCCGACUCCACAUUAAAUUCAUCCUUGAAACUGGUUUCUUUAGCAGUCGUUCCCCAACUUUUACAAGAUUUUUUACUUUCUUCCAUGGCAAUAUCAACUGAAGAUACUAGUCCUUUUAGGUAUCAUCCAACAGUUUAAUUUUUAUUUGAAGGUGUCAAAACUAGUGUUAUGGUGGACCAGAAAACAAGGAAGAAAAUCAUUUUUCAUCUCCAAGAAUAUAGAGGAUUUUAACAACAAUAGGUUUGAUGUUGUAUCAAUGCUUGUAUAAAGACGUGCAUGAGCAUGUAUGCCUACCUGAAUCCGAAGGUAAUUCUUUCCCGAGAGAAGGGCUUGAAAAACCAUGGAAAUAUGGAAGUCUACCAUAUCUGUGCUUGCUUGAGUAAACACAUUCACUAAUGGGGUGAAACCAAUACUAGUUAACCAUCCCAAUAUAUAUGGAAGUCAACCAUAUCCAUAACUGUUUGUCUUUAAGUUUUUCCUUUACAAGGCUUUGCAAAAACUUUCCAACAUAUUUUGGACUUAGUAAGGCUUUUGAUUAUCUUUAUAACUUUCAUUUAGGAAAAAAAAAAAAAAAGAAGAAAAAAUCAUGUUAACAACUAUAAAAAUAGUAACUUUGUGACAUUCAAUUCAACAUAAUUAUACUGGUUAAUGAAUUCUUUGGUUGUGGACAAAUUUUAGGAGACUGAUUAAGGUAGAGAUUCUCAAUGCCUUUGGCGGCAAACAUGGGGCAAUUGUCUUACUAGGUGCAGUUAGCAUGACAGUCACAAGACCACCUGUGCUUGUCCCAGCAUCAUAUCAAAAUAGUUUACAAUUCUUCAAUCCCCUCCAUCCAACUUCUAAACCUAGUAGAAACCACUUAGAGUUAAUACUUGCAUUAUAAGAACCACUGUUAACAUCAACACAAAUGAAGUGGUAAUAUAGAAAAUUGUUGCAGCUUCAAAAACGCCCUCCAUUUAAAUAUACACAGGUGAAAAAUGGCAUAAAUGCCAUAAUUCUGGUUGAAUUGAUAUGGCAGAGGUAGCUUGUAGAUAUGAAUGUCAUGAUUAGUAUCACUCUUCAUAUAUGGAAUAGAAGAGUGAUGCUCCUGAUGCUUGGGGAGCUUGUUGAUAUUUAGAUCUUACCUGAAGUUCAGACUCUAGAAAGUUAAGGGUAGUUAAUUCCUAGGAUAAUCCUUUUUAUCCCACCUUCAUCAAUGUUGAGGAUGGUAAUUAAUUAGAUUCCCAUAUGUUGGAGGUUGCUAGGGUGAUUUUAAUUUGCUCCUUCCAUGAUGGUAUGAAGUAAAAGAGAUAGAUGUAUAGACUUUCUUUAGAAAAAAUUGUAAGAUCUUGAAAUAAAUUUUAAUAGAAAAAGAAAUUGUAAGACUGAAGUACUCUUUCAUAAAGCAUGAGAUAUUAAAGUUCUACCAAGUUAAGAGAAAGAAUCUAUGAAUAUGGAAGACUUACAUAACAUGGGUAUCUAUGUUUAUAGCAUGAUAUGUAUUUUAAUUUUUCCCCUAAGUUUCAUUAGUGCACCGUCUAUACUUAAUUCUUUGACUUUGUCCCUACAUGUACUUUCCUUGAUGUGGCUUUGGUUGGAGAUGAUGAUUACUAACAUGGUUAUCAUUCAAUGAAAAACAACUGUUAAAUCAUUUUAUCAUAAUGGAAAGAUGGCCCUUGUAGGCACUCAAUAUGGGAAUUGUAGGUAGAGUACUACUCUAAGAGAAUUUUAGGUAAGACUAAUUAGGUAAAUGUAUAUAGCUAAAAAUGGAAUGCAUCAAUCCAACCAAACUAUUACGCUAAGCAACAAAGGCCACAAUUUCUAAAUAAAUAACUUAACGUGAAUUGUAGUAUCUAGCAUGUUUAAAUGAAAACAUUCUUGCUUGCAUGUUGAAUUCAAGAAAUUAGUUUGUAUUCUAAAUGUCGUUUUUUCUUUUUUUGUAAUAGGUGGCGCCUAUGAUUCGUGCCCAAUUGGUGUCUCAGCUGAUUCGUGUCCAGCUGGUGCUCCUUGAUUGAGGGAUUAAUCAACAAAAUUUAUAACCUAUUACACCAUAUACUAGGGUAGCAAAGACAAAGCUACUAUAGCAAAGUGGCUCUAGGAUCGUUCACUGGGAUGGGUUUUCACUUCACAAAUGAUAUUAAUUCAAAGUUGAAUUGGUGCCUUUUCAUUUCAAGGUUAGCUUUAAAAGAAAACAUAAAAUUGAAUUGGAAAAGGUUUGGUUUUAAACUAACCAAAAAUAGUAACUGAUUUUACUUACAAAGAAAAGUGUUUCUUGGAGUUUAGAUCACUAGGCUCAGGUUCCUCAUACAAAAAGGAGAGUUCCGGUCACUUGUUUCUUUUCCUCGCAUUAGAGAAUUAACAUAUAGUUUCUUCUCCAACCGGUGUUAUACAGAUGCUUCCCAUUAAUGGGUUCAAACACUAAAUCCCUCUCACUGAUGCAUCUUGCAAUGGCUCGUGCCUCUCACCUAGCAUUUGCCAUUCAAGGUGAUCUUUAACCUUGGACUUCCCUUCUCAAGCUCGCAAGAGAUAACUAAUGGAUGUCUCCUUGGAGUCCAAAAGCUUACCAAGUGUUGGCUAUUCUAGAAAAUCCUACCUUCAAACCACCUACCAAAGGCUCGCAAGGGGUAAACUAGUGCAUCUCCAUGGACGGAGAUCACUUGCCUUACCAAGUGUUGGCCCAGGUGAUUUAAAGGCGUUUUAAGUUAACUAAAAACAUAGAAAUCACUAACGGGUUACACUUUCUCUUCAUUAAAAACUAAAACAACAAAACUUCCAAAUUAUGCAUGUGGAAACUUACCCGGCUUUCCUCACUCCAAGAGACAAAAAGCUUAGCCUCUCAUCCUCUGUGGAAAAAUCCUCAGAGUUUGGUUGGCUAGAAAAUGAAAAUGAAAGAGAAGACAAGAAUAUAUAUCAAAAACAGAGCAAGUGCUCUGUUUGUUGAUUCUAUAUAUUAGAUUACAUAUAUGAUCCUCCUCCUCCUUUUACAGUGGAUGCAAGGGAAUAUAUAUAGAGGAGUUUUUCCAACCUUCCUAGCUAAGAAAUCUUGUGGUUGGUGGCUUACAAGGAGAAGAAUGGAAAUUUAUACAAAAAUAUCUGAAGAAAAGAUCUAAAAGAGUCGGUGCACAAAUAUCAGGAAGCACUAAGGACAUUUCGCAGGUGAAAAUGGUGUCUGCGAGAUUUCGCAGACACUCAAGAGGGCUGCGAAAUAUUUUCGCAACAACAAGUUAAACUCGCAGGGCUGCGAAAUUGGCUUCCACCUUGAGGUUCUCAGAGUUCCAGCUUGCGGCAUGUAUCGGGUAGCUUCAGGAGGAAUUCCAUAGCACUGUACAAAAAGGCUGCGAAAUUCUCCCAACAAAAGGCUGAUUUCGCAACACUUUGGAGUGAUCUGCUUGCAAUGGCUGUAACUCCUUCGUUUCAACUCCGAAUUGAGCACCGUUUGAAGCAUUGGAUUCUUGACUUCCUGAGCUUUGAAAUGGUAUAUAGAAUGUAGAAAAUGGACUUGGGGAAGUGCUCCAAAAGUGCGCAUGAAGACUGCAGCUGCUUGUCCUCUGUUUUCUUCACUCUGUUUUUCCUUUCUCCUUGCUUCUCUCCUUGCAUACUUUGAACGACUAUGGCAAAGGGAUAUGGGGCUCCAAAGCUUGGUUCUUCAUGAAUUUGAGCUCUUCAUUGCUUUGCCAUGGAUUCCAAAUAACUCUCCUCAAUCUUGGAUUGUUUUGGUAAUCAAAUUACUAACAAAAACACCAAAACUUACACAAUUUGAUUAGAAAUGAUUGCAAGGGUCCUUAACAUGUUAAUUGAGUUAAAAGGCAAUAACUACUACUCAAAAGUGUUUAAAAGGAUUAAUUACAAGCUAUGAAAUUGCACUUUUUGAGUAGUAAUCAGCCUACAUUCUAAACACCAACUUUUUUCACAAUAGGUGGAGCCUACAUUCUAUAUAAACAUCUACUUUUUUUUUUUUUUUUUGCAAUAUGUGGUACCUUAUCAAGGUGCAAAAGAAUCAAUUGGUGAGAAAAAUUUGUAAUUCAAUCAAAUCAAUUCCACGGGCCUCAAAAAAUGAGAAAUAAUAUUGAUGAUAUGACAAUGAUGAAAGCCUCCAUCAAGUUGAUGACGAAAGAGUCAAAGCCUCGAUCAAGGAAGGCAGCUGAGUGUAGCAUGCAUGAACCAACAAUGAACUCUGGUUUAACAUUCAGUUAUGAACAAUAACAGGAACUUUGAUUUACCUUUUUGCUAUGAACAAUUUCAGGAGUUGUCAACUCUGGUUUAAUAUUCUGUUAUGUGGAGAAACCUCCUUAAGAUGUUUUCACUGUUGUUUACACGGAGGGGCACAAGUAAUUAACACUGCAUUUCUUUGGAAAAGGCGAAGCCCAAGGGAUACAAUUGGGAGUGGAUGAGUAAAACGGGGAAACCAAAUUUGCCCAACCCAACCAGAAAAACUACUGUAGCAGUUAUGUAUACAGAAAGAGCAUUUAUAUGUACAGAAAGAAAAGACGCCCAAACCCCUUCAUUUGAUGCCUUGUGCAACAGAUGCGGAUUUGGAUAUCUGCUCCCAAAAUGGAGAAUAUUGGUGAUUGAAGUAAUGUGCUGAAUAUUGUUAUUAGAAUGGGAUGAUAUGUCAUUUUGAAGGUGAUGGGGUUUUGGUUAGUUGUUUGUCACGAGCGCUCUGAGGCUAGUGGAUGUAGGUGGCAUUAAUUGUGGGUUGGUGUGGUUGUGUUGUUGGUGGGGAUUGAAAUGCUUAAAUAUUGAUUCAAUCACUAUGGAGAGAUUUUGAUAUAUUUUUUAUAUGAAAGAAAGUGAAAGCAUUUAUCAGGUUUCCUCUUGAGCUUUAGAGAUCUUUAAUCAAAUUAGAAGCCUUAGAUAUAUUUUUUUUUUAUGAAAGAAAGUGAAAGCAUUUAUCAGGUUUCCUCUUGAGCUUUAGAGAUCAUUAAUCAAAUUAGAAGCCUUAGUAAUGAUAUUCAGGAAAAAUAAAAAGUAUUGUUUCUAAGAAGGUUGUCAAAAAAGUUUGAUAAUGUAGUUGCUGCAAUUAAAGAAUAUUCCAAAGAUUUCUUAAGAACUAGAAUUAAUGGAGCCACUUAAAACCACAUGAGCAAAGAAUCAACAAGUAUUCCAUUUCACCUAUGGACUAAGCUUUUCAAUCAAAAAGCAAUGUUGCUGAUAACAAAGGUUUUAGGCAAAGAAAGUAAAAGGACGGGGGUUUUGGUAAUGGGCCUAUCUAAGGCCCUCCUCUGUGUCUUCAAAGUUGGUCUAGUUUGGGGCCAGGAUUAAAACUUGGCUAGCGUGAAUGGCCCAAGAAGAAAAAUGGCAAAGUAAGAUGUAGAAGAGCUAACCAUGAGGAGUAGUCGGGAUAGUUAGUGCUUGGAGUUGUAACUACUUAAAAUGGCAAAGAGAGAAUCAAUGAGGAGGAAAAUGCCCCCAUAGACUCUGCACCUAUCGAUAGAUGAAGGGUAUAUCAAUGCAACUAGCUAGGCCAUCACCAAGAGAGAGGUAAGAAAGAACAAUAAGAAAUACUCUUUUUUUAUAAAAUAAAUAUAAAAAAAACCAACUAACUUAACUAUUGGAGAAGCUUAUCCCAGGGCUAUAUCGGGUAAGCCAUGCGUUGCAAGUAAAAAACGCACAACAAGUAGAGGAUUAUAGCUUAAGAAAUUUUCAACUCCAACAAGUGGCGUCGUUUGUGGGAAGUUUCUAUGUUGAAGUAUAGCUUUCACUUUGAACUUGACGUAGAACCCUUUUCUUUUUGUCUGGAGUUGGAAGUUAGACAAUGGAAGACACUUAGUUGUGGGAUUCAAUUAGUAUGACAAUCCCCCGGAGGGCCACUACCUCAAAAACUCUUUGCGAGGGUUUUGAAAGAUUCUAGGUGGAGCAGGAAAGGAGAAUGGAAUCCAUCCUUGCUCAAACUGAGUUGCUAAGGCAAGAAAAUGCCUUGUUGUAGAAACAACUAGAAGAUCAGUAGGUUCACAUUCAAAUGUUGCAUCAACCAGCAAGCAAUCUUGAUCAUAUACGCCAACAAGAUAAUGAUGACAUGGUGGAGCCUUUAGAUCAUGCAGUUCCCCUUGGUCAAGCUCCUCACACCAUUUUAAACUCGCAUGGGGGACAUCGCCCAUUUGACGCUAGGAUUCCAAGAAUGUUGGUCACUGAAAGAGUCAAUGAGGUAGACAACACCUCUCGGUGGGGACCCCAACACCCAUUAUAUUCAAACUCAAGUAGCCGACAACAAAUGAGAUUACCCUAGGUUAAAGUCACGAGAAGGAUGGCUUGACCCCUGUCUUUAGCAGUUUGGCUCCCUCAGGAACAUCCAAAUGAAUUGCCCCUAAGGGCCACAACUUGCCACUUGACAGAUAUGAUGACAACGUCAUUUGAUCAACAUAUUCUGAUGUAUGAACCCCCAAGAGGGUACACCAUUCCUAAGUUCGCCAUGUAUGAUUGUACAUAUGAUCCAUUCAACCAUUUAAUGCAUUAUCGAAAAAUGAUGACGCUAGAUAUCGGCAAUGAUGAACUCCCUUUGUAAGGUGUUCCCAACUAGUUUCCAGGGCACUACCCUAGCUUGGUUUCACAAGUUUUCCCCUAAUUCUAUUCACUCCUUUAGGGAGAUGUCAGAAGUCUUCGUAGCGCACUAUCUGUGCUUAGCAAGGCAAAAGUUUAACAUAAGUAGUCUUUAGAACCUGAAUAAAACAAAAAGUGAGACUUUGGGUCAAUUCAUGCACAAAUUCAACCAAACAAUGCUCCAGAUAGAAAAAUGCAAUAUGGAUGCUUUACUACAAGCAUUCAAACGCAACAUUGGCCUUGGGACUCCAUUAUUUGAAUAGCUCUUGAAAAAAUCGCCAUAGAUAGUUGAUGACUUGUUUAGAAGGGCCAAUAAGUAUGCCCUGUUGGAAAAAGAUUUAUAGGUUGCUGCCAGCCCUGUUUUGGCAUCAACACAGACAACACGAGCAAGAAAAAAUGCAGGAAACAAACAUCAGGGCCCGGGUAACCCCUCAUAAGACAAGAAGUCAUGUAGGAAUAAGGAAGACCAAAGAGCACCCCGAUGGUGGACCCCACUUAGCUUGACUUAUGAAUAGUUGCUUCCCAUUAUGAGCAGUACUAGUUUGCCCGAUUUCAAGUGGUCUUUUGCUCUUUAGGGACUCAGCGCAAUGAGAUCAAACUCGGCAUUGUGAAUAUCACAAAGAACAUGAACAUACUACGGAUGAAUGCUGACACUUUCGUUAUUUGGUGGAGGAAUGGUGAGAGUCGGCUUGAUCUCCCACUAUGUCGAGAAAAGUGAACGAUCGACCAUUGGGAGUAACAAGCAAGCUGCAGUUGUCAUGGUUUAGCCAGGUGGAACCUUGCCAAUCAUUCACAUCAUUCAAGGAGGGCCUAUGGAUCAAUGCUGGAAGUCAAAGCGUCGUCGACGAGCAAUGAUCUAAGAAGCAAUCGAUGUAGAGAAGAUUAGCAUGGAACAAAUUUCCUUUGUUCCAGGGACAAUGGAACCUAUGGAUGGGGUUGUCUAUUUUAACCCUUGGGAUCCGACCUUGGUAACAGUGCCCCAUGAAGAUGCCCUUGUCUUGUCACUCAAAAUUGCUAGAUUCCAAGUCUGUCGGGUAUUAGUUGAUCCUGGCAGUUCAGUUGAUUUUCUCCACAUCUCAACUUAUAAGUAGAUGGGCAUCCCAAUUUAUACUUUAGGAAGCCCAGACUAAGUACUAACAGACUUCAAUAGCUUAACAUCCCGAUCUUUGGGGGAAAUAAUUUUGCUAGUAGAAGCCAGCCUUACAGCCCUAAAUGCCUGUUUUUUAGUCAUAUUAAAUCCUUUGCCUUAUAACACUAUACUGGGAAUAAAAUGGAUUCACAAAAUGAAAGCUACCCCAUCAACUUAUCACCAAAAAGUCAGUUUCCUUAGAAAAACGGGACAUGUUGAUCUAUUUGGAAGCUAACUAGCAGCAAGGCAAUGUUAUCAGGUAAAUGUUAGGCUUGUAGGAGAGGAAAUCGAAAGUGUUUGCACUGACAGCGAGGCCCAACAGAAAUAACAAUUACUAAAAAAAGGGGGAUGAGCAAGAGCCUCCAGUCGUUGACCCACUCGUUUGCACAGAAAUACAAAAUAGGGGACCAUAUAGAGUUACUUAUGUUAGCUUUAUCCUGACAGAUCAAGAGAAAUAGCUAUUAGUAAACCAACUAGAUAUGAAUCCCAUACUUUUUGCUUGGAAGUUUUCUGACAUGUGAGGAAUAUCUCCUGAAGUGAUUAGCCAUAAACUCGGGAUCCACCUAGAAUCAAAGCCUGUUUAUCAUAAAGUAAGGAAACUCAAUUAAAAAAAGUAGUAGAUAGUUCAGCAUGAAAUAUCCCGAUUGCUCGAUGCGGGAUUCAUUCGAGAGGCUAGCUAAUGUAGUAGUUGUGCCAAAAUAAAAAAAAGGCAAGUGGAGGGUUUGUAUUGAUUUUACUAACCUAAGGGAGGUGUGCCCAAAAGAUAGUUUCCUUUUACCACACAUUGAUCAAACAGUUGAUGCCACUUCAGGGCAUAAAAUGUUGUCAUUUAUGGACGUCUUUUCUGGCUAUAAUCAGAUUCCCAUAUAUCUUCUUGAUUCAGAAAAGACAACAUUAAUAACCCAUUUCAGAACUUUUUGUUACAAUGUUAUGUCUUUCAACCUUAGAAUGCAGGAGCCACUUAUCAGCGACUCAUGACAAAGAUAUUCUAUCUAAUGUUAGGCAAAACAACGAAAGUUUAUAUAGACGAUAUACUUGUAAAAAGCUAGAAACGGGAGGAUCACUACACAAAUUUACAACAAGCUUUUAACUUAUUGUCGCACUUUGGGAUGAAGUUAAAUCCAACUAAAUGUGCAUUUGAUGUAUCUGUUGGUAAGUUUUUGGGUUUCCUAGUCAUAGUGUGUGGUAUAGAGAUAGAUCCUGCUCAAAUAAAGAAAGUACAAGAGUUACCUUUUCCACGUAAUAAAAAAGAAAUACAACAUUUAACAGGAAAAAUGGUGGAAAUAGCCCGUUUUAUCUCCCAAUACACUGACCACCCGAAGCCUUUCUUUAAUGUAAUAAAGAAAAUCAAGAUCUUUGAAUGGAUGGUGGAGCACAAGGAGACGCUCUUAGUUAUAAAGAACCAUUUGGUUUCGCCCCCAAUCUUAAAAAGUCCUCAACUGGGAAAUCCCCUAUUUUUGUAUCUAGCAACAUCAAAAUUGGCAAUUUGUGCGGUUUUGCUUAAGUUGGGCCUUAAUGGAAGUCAAUUACCAGUCUAUUAUGUCAAUAAGGCGAUGCUAUAGGCUGAGCAAAACUAUACCCUACUAGAAAAUGUGGCGUUGGCCUUGCGAGUGAUCUCAAAGAAGUUGUGCCCCUACUUUCAGGUGCGUCAGGUGAAUGUUUUAUCUAAUGUCAUUUUUCGAGCUAUCUUACAUAGGCCUGAGUUGUUCGAGCAACUAGUAAAAUGGGCCACAUAGUUGAGUGAAUUUGGUUUGCGGUAUUUACCCCAUUUGUCACUAAAAUGAUAAGUCUUAACAGACUUUAUUAUUGAAUAGCCAGAUUUUGAAGUCGCUCAGACCAAAUGUCAAUGGAAUACUGGAUUCUCUAUGUUGAUGGAGCGUCAUGUGGCGUAAGAACGGGAAUAAGGCUUGUCCUGCAAUCCCCCAUAGGAGAAUGCUUGGAAUAGGCAGUUCGGAUGGGUUUUUGCACUUCAAACAACAAGGCCGAGUAUGAAGCCGUGCUUUUCAACAUAGGCCUGGCAUUGUCAAUCCAAGCUAGCCACCUCGAUAUAUGGAGUGACUCACAGCUAGUGGUAAACCAAGUGCAAAGCGAUGAUGAAUCAAGAGAUGUUAGAAUGAUGAGGUAUCUUGAUAAAGUUAAGCUUUAGCUUCAAAAAUUCAAUGAGUGGAAGAUGACUCAGAUCACUAGGGAAGAGAAUGCUCGGGUAGAUGCAUUAGUCGAGGUAGCAAUUUCCUUAGCAGUUAUGCAAAUAGUAACUUUGCCCAUUUAUUAUCAAGACAAUCCAUCAAUACUAGAAAAAGGCCAGGUAAGUCAGGUGUAUGAUGCCCAAGAAAGUUGGAUGGGACCGAUUAUUAAGUAUUUGGAAGUAGGGGAACUCCUAGAGGAUGAGCAUCAAGUGGAAUAACCACACUGGUCAAGGUCUGAUGCAACCAAGUCCUUCCUAGUUUCUCCUUUAUGAGGUGUUGAAGGUAUUUCCCAUCAUACUUGGGCCCAACUAUUGAUCUCAAUAUGUUCAUGAUCCAGCCAAAAAUACCCCUGCCAUUAAACAAAUUUUUUUUUUGUUAGUUACCAUAUGAAAUUCCAAAACAAGACAUAAUCCUAGGUUUUCACAUGCUCUAAUAUUGUUAAUGUUACCAUACACAAUUUAGGAAUCAUAUUGGCUGUACAUAUAGGAAUGUUAAUGUUACCAUAUACAAUUUAGGAAUCAUAUUGGUUGUACACAUAGGAAAAGAUUGACAGAUUGGCUUACCAUGUAUUUGUAAAUGUUACCAUAUACAAUUUAGGAAUCAGUUAGACUCCAUGUAUAGAAUAUAUAUCAGUAUAUAGAUGGAUGUAGUGAAAUAUAAAAAAAACUAAUCAGAGUUAUCAGAGCAAGGCUUCAACACCUUCUGAGUGGAGUUCGUGAUCUUCUACCAAUCAAAUGCUUGGCAUCGAAAACAGUGUUGAUCGGGUUCAUCGCGACCUAGUUCUUGGUCGUUUCUGUUCCAAUUCUCUUGUCGGCUAUUUCCAUUGUCUCUUGGUUGCAUCAUGUCAUCAAAUAAGUUGGAAUCAUUUCCUAUUAGAUUUACUGGAAAAAAUUAUUGUGCUUGGGAGUUUCAAUUUAAAUUAUUUGUCAAAGGAAAAGAAUUAUGGGGUCAUAUUGAUGGGAGUAAUCUUGGACCUCGUGAUGCCAAGGCUUUGUCUAAGUGGGAAAUUGAGGAUGCUCGGGUUAUGACUUGGAUCCUUAGAUUGGUUGAACCUCACCUUGUUCUCAAUUUGAGGCCUUAUAAAACUAUUGCUGCUAUGUGGAAUUAUCUCCACAUGGUUUACAAUCAAGACAACUCUGCUAGGCGUUUUCAAUUGGAGUAUGCGAUGGCUAAUUUCACACAAGGAAGUCUCUCAAUUGAGGAAUAUUUUUCUGGUUUUCAAACUCUUUGGAUUGAUUAUUCCGACAUUGUUUUCGCUAAUGUUCUCGCUACAACUCUCUUUGUUGUCCAAGCAGUGCAUGUAACCAACAAGCGAGAUCAAUUCUUGAUGAAGCUACGACCCAACUUUGAAAUUGCACGGUCUAAUAUGAUGAAUCGUCAUCCUGUACCAUCUCUGGAUGCCUGCUCGAGUGAACUUAUGCGUGAGGAGUAGCGUAUCAUAACUCAAGCUACCAUGGAACAUCGUGUAGUGCACAUGUUUCAGUGGCUUAUGCAGCACAGGGGCGGAAUAAGGGUUGAGACAUGCGUGUUGUCCAGUGCUUUAGUUGUAAAGAUUUUGGUCACAUUGCUUGGGAUUGUCCCAAGAAGUUCUGUAACUAUUGCAAGAAACAAGGUCAUAUCAUCUCUGCUUGUCCCAUUCAGCCUGAAAGGAAGCAGGGUACUGCUUAUCAUGCCUCCACCUAUGUCUCUAGUUUUGCUGCAUUGCCUGCUGCCUCGUCGGUUGUUCCUAUUCCUACUCCUACAGUCUUAGCAAACCCGAAUACACUCACUCCUGAAAUGGUUCAACAAAUGAUCAUUUCUGUUUUUGGGCUCUUAGGUAAUCAUACGGUUUCUUCUAAGCCAUGGUAUUUUGACUCUGGAGCUUCUAACCAUAUGAUGAAUAUUGUUCUUUCUCUUUCCAAUCUCAAAAAUAAUGAUGGAAAUAUGAAAAUUAACAUUGUUGAUGGCAGUUCUUUGCCUAUCAGUACUGUUGGUGAUCUUUCCUCUUCCUUAACUGAUGUUUUUGUGUCUCCUAACCUCUCCACAAAUCUUAUUUCUAUUGGUCAAUUGGUUGAUAAUAAUUGUAAUGUCAAUUUAUCCCAUUUUGGUUGUGUUGUGCAGCAUCAAGUGUCCGAGAAGAUGAUCGCGAAGGGGCCUAAAGUUGGACGACUCUUUCCUCUUCAUGUUUCUACUUCCACUAUUAUUCCUAGUUUUCCUUUACUUUCCUUUGCAUGUAAUGUUGUUGGUUCUGGACAUAAGAUGUGGCAUAAACGUCUUUGCCACCCAAACUCUCAUGUACUUCAUACUUUGUUUAAUUUUAGAUUAUUGGGAAAUAAAGCAUGUUCUUCUCUUAAUCAUUCUUUCGAUUGUACGUCAUGCAAACUUGGCAAAAGUAAAGUUCUACCUUUUCCUCAUUCCACAUCUCGUGCCUCACAAUGUUUUGAUAUUAUACAUAGUGAUGUUUGGGGGAUUGCACCUAUUGUUUCUCAUGCACAUUACAAGUACUUUGUUGCUUUCAUUGAUGACUUUAGUCGCUUUACUUAAGUUUAAUUCCUCUGGGCUAAGGCUGAAGUUUUUUCAAUCUUUAAGUGCUUUCUUGCACUUAUUGAGACUCAAUUAUUUACUAGCAUCAAGGUCUUGCGCUCUGAUUCUAGCAGAGAAUACAUGUCUAACGAGUUUCAGGACUUUUUUCAAAGCAAAGGGAUCAUCUCUCAACGUUCUUGUCCUUCGACACCACAACAAAAUGGUGUUGUUGAGAAGAAAAAUCGCCACCUUCUUGAUGUGGUAAGAACUUUUUUACUUUACUCAUUGGUUCCUCCUCGUUUUUGGUGUGAAACACUUUCUACUAUAAUUCAUUUGAUCAAUCGCUUACUGAUUCAUGCCCAAUUGGUGUCUCAGCUGAUUCGUGUUCAGCUGGUGCUCCUUGAUUGAGGAAGUGAUCAACAAAAUUUAUUACCUAUAACACCAUACACUAGGGUAGCAAAGAAAAAGCUACUAUAGUAUAGUGGCUCUAGGGUCGUUCACUGGGAAUGACUAACAAGCAAUCAAUGAUACCAAUUCCAAGUGAAUUGGUCUUGUUUCAUUUCAAGGUUAGCUUAAGAAAUAAAACACAAACUUUGAUUGGUAAAGGUUGAGACUUAAACUAACUAACUUAACAGAAGUUUGGAAUAAUUUAGGAAGAAAAGCAUUCCUUGGAGAUUUAGGUUCACUGGGGUGGUUCCUCAUGCAAAAGACACGGCUUUGGUCAGAUGGUUGAUUUCCUCGCAUUAGAGAUUCAACAUAUAGUCAAUUCUCUAACCGGCGAUGUACAGAGACUCCUUCAAUUAGAUUUCACUUUAAUUCUCUCACUGAUGCAACUUGCAAUGGUUUAAGCCUCUCACUAAGCCUUAGCCAUUCAAGGUGAUCUUUAACCUUGGAUUACCCGUCAAAAGCUCGUAAGAGAUAACUAAUGGAUGUCUCCUAGGAGUCCAAAAGCUUAUCAAGUGUUGGCUAUUCUAGAAAAUCCUACCCUGAAGUCACCUACCAGAGGCUCGCAAGGGGUAAACUAGUGCAUUUCCAUGGUUGGAAAUCACUUGCCUUACCAAGUGUUGGCCCAGGUGACUCCAAAGUGUUUUAAGUUAACUAAAAACAUAGAAAUCACUAAAGGAUUUCACUUCCUCUUCAUUACUAGCUAAAACCACAAAGCUUUGCAUUCUUGCACUUGGAACCUUCCCCGACAACCUUAGCUCCAAGGAAUUAGAGGUUUAGUUACUCAUUCUUUGGGGAAAACUCCUCAGAGAAUUCAUAACUUAGAAAUAAAAUGAAAAUACAAAGUGAGAAGGUAAGGCAGUAGAAAGAAAAGAUCUUUACUUGCUUACCCAAACGUUUUCAGAAGGAACUCCUCUCUGAGAACAGGCUCCCGAGAGGUAUAUAUAUCAAACCAAUAUAAAACUAAUUGUUACAAAGAUAUUUAGUCUUUUUACUAACUUAAAAACUAAGGAAUCAUGUAAUUGGUGGUUUACAAGGAGUAUUUUGGGAUUUAGACAACAAAAAUCUAAAGGAAAAUAUCUCCCAAUGUCGGUAGCAAGUUUCGGGAGGCUUCAGGAACCAUUUCGCAGGAGAAAAAUGGUGUCUGCAAAAUUUCGCAGACACCUAAGAGGGCUGCGAAGUUGGCUUCCACCUUGAGGUUCCCAGCUCCCUUCUCGCGGCAUGGUUCGUGCAUCGUCAGAAGAAGAAACACCUUACUGUACAAAAAUGCUGCGAAAUUCUCGCAACAAAAGGCUGAUUCCGUAGCACUUUAGAGUGAUUGACUUGCAGUGGCUGUAACUUCUUCGUUUCAACUCCGAAUCGCACACCAUUUGAAGCAUUGGAUUUUUGACUUCCUGAGCUUUGAAAUGGUAUAUAGCAUGCAUCAUUUGGACUUCAGAAAGUGCUCCAAAAGUGGCUGCUACGACUGUCAUCAAGAAUAGGCUUCAUGGCAGAUUCUCUUUGCUUUUUCUCCUUGCAAUCCGGAUUCACUCUUGGCAAAUGAAUUCUCAACUUUGCCCAAGAUUCCUCAUAGCUCUCCUCAGUCUUGACUUGCUUUGGUGAUCAAAAUACUAACAAAAACACCAAAACUUACACAAAGUGAUUAAAAUUGCUUUAAAGGAUCCUUAACAUGCCAAUUGAGUUAAAAGGCCUAAACUACUACUCAAAAGUGAUAAAAAAGAUUAAUUAAAGGCUAUCAAAUAGCACUUUUUGAGUAGUAAUCACUUACUCUCUCCUAUGUUAAAUCAUGUAUUUCUUUUCUCUAAGUUGUUUGGUCAUUCUCUUUUAUAUUCUGAUCUUCAUACAUUUGGUUGUGUUUGUUUUGUGCAUCUACCUACUCAUGAACGACAUAAACUUACUGCUCAGUCUGUUCAGUGUGCUUUUCUUGGUUAUGCUAUCCCUCACAAGGGUUAUGUUUGUUAUGAUCCCCAUGCUCGUUGUAUACAAGUUUCCCGGAAUAUUUCUCUCCAUCUCAUGUUGAGCUACCAUCUACAUCUGUAUCUCUUCUGCCUAGUUUUUCUGAAUCCCCAACAAUUGUGGGAAUGUUUAAACCUGGUUUUUUUGUAUGAAAGAUGUAGCCGACAUGAGUCCGGUUCCACUUUCUCUAUGUCCUCUUCCGAUGACCCAACGCCUGAUCCUGCUCCUGCUUCCACCACUCUUCGUCGGUCUAAUCAUCUUUCUCAACCCCUUGAUUAGUAUGGAUUCUUCUCUCCUGUCUCUCUUGUUGCUACUUUAUCCACUAUUUGUAUUCCAUUUUGCUACAAACAGGCCAUGGAACAUAAGUGUUGGCAAAAUGCAAUGCAAGUAGAACUUCAAGCACUUGAGAAGAAUCAUACUUGGGAUAUUGUUCCUUGUUCUCCUACAGUCAAACCUAUUGGGAGUAAAUGGGUUUUCUCUAUAAAAAUUUGUUCUGAUGGCUCUUUAGACCGGUAUAAAGCUCACCUCAUGGCUUUGGGUAACAAGCAGGAAUAUAGGGUUGAUUAUGAGGGGACAUUUGCUCCUGUUGCUAAAAUGACCACGGUUCAAACCAUCUUAGCUAUUGCCUCUUCACAGUCAUGGAAACUACAUCAGAUGGAUGUAAAGAAUGCUUUCCUUCAUGGUGAUCUCUAGGAAGAGAUUUACAUGAAGCUUCCCUCUGGUAUGAUUAAUUCUUCUCCUCAUGAUGUCUGUAAGCUAAAAUGUUCUUUGUAUGGGCUCAAGCAAGCGCCCCGGGCUUGGUUUGAGAAGUUUCGCAGUACAAUUCUUUCCUUUAGUUUUACCCAAAGUCAGUAUGAUUCUUCCCUCUUCUUCCACACGUCUGUGUUGGGUAAAGUCCUUCUCUUGGUUUAUGUGGAUAAUAUUAUCAUUACUGGCACUAACUGUGGUUUGAUUACUAAGCUUCAGCGGAUGUUAUAUACAACUUUCCAUAUGAAAGAACUUGGACAUCUCACAUACUUCUUAGGAUUGGAAGUUCAUCAUCGGGCUAGUGGUAUUUUUGUGAACCAGCAUAAGUAUAUUCAAGAUCUUAUCAUUUUAGCUAGUUUGGAGGACACUUCUUCUGUUGAUACUCCUAUGGAGGUAAAUGUCAAAUACAGGAAAGAUGAAGGGGACCUUCUAGAUGAUCCUACUCUCUAUCGACGCCUAGUUGGGAGUCUUAUCUACUUGACCACUACUUGACAUGAUAUCUCCUAUGUUGUUCAUCAGGCCAGUCAGUUUAUGACUUCUCCUUGACAUCUCCAUCUUGCUGCAGUUCGACGCAUCAUCCGCUAUCUUCGAGGUUCACCUACUCGUGGGUUAUUCUUUCCUACUGGCUCCUCUCUUCAACUUGUUGCCUAUAGUGAUGUUGAUUAGGCUAGGUGUCUAGAUACACGUCGAUCUACUACAGGUUGGUGUAUGUUUUUAGGUGAUGCCUUAAUUUCUUGAAGAUGUAAGAAACAAGAUUGUGUUUCUAAAUCCUCUACUGAGGUUGAGUAUCAUGCCAUGUCUAUUGCUUGUUAUGAAAUUAUAUGGCUACGCGGUCUUCUUGAGGAGCUUGGGUUUCCUCAAACUACUUCUACACUUCCUCAUGCUGAUAACACUAGUGCUAUUCAGAUUGCCACCAAUCCUAUUUUUCAUGAACUUACCAAGCACAUUGAGGUUGAUUGUCAUUCUAUUUGAGACACCUUGGAAAGUCGGGUGAUAUCGUCACCAAAGCUUUGACUCAACAGCGGCAUCAAUUUCUUGUUGUCAAAUUGUUGCUGGUUGACUUACCGGCAUUAAUUUGAGGGGGGAUGUUAAUGUUACCAUUACAAUUUAGGAAUCAUAUCAACCAUACAUAUAGGAAUGUUAAUGUUUCCAUAUACAAUUUAGGAAUCAUAUUGGCUAUACAUAUAGGAAAAGAUUGACGGAUUGGCUUACCAUGUAUUUGUUAAUGUUACCAUAUACAAUUUAGGAAUCAGUUAGACUUCGUAUAUUGGAUAUAUAUCAGUAUAUAGAUGGAUGCAGUGAAAUAUUAAAAAAACUGAUCAGAGUUAUCCGUUUCUGUGGAGUUUUUUUUUUUAGUAUUUUGACAUUUAUAUGAAUCAAUCUUUAAAAGAGAAGCAAGAACAAUUGAGUAUCAAAUAUUAACUUCUCUGUGGAAAUAUUUUAGGGCCAUGCUCAAGAUAAAAGGGCUUGAUGUCUUGGGCUGCAAAUAGAGGACAUCUCAGAUCAUUCGGAGCAAACCGUUUAAGAAUUAAACCAAUUACGAACCGCCCAAACCGGCGGACCGGUGACCUGGUGGAAUUGGACGGUUCAAAUCAAACCGAACAGUUCUAGUUGGACCACCAUUUUAAAGGCUCCCUUGGAUAAAAAGAUUCGGCAAAAGCCCAUGCUAGGCCUUGUCUCAUAAUGACAAAGCCCAUACCCCACUCAACCAUAUUGUGGGCUAAGGCUUGAGCCCACCAGAUGAGGCAAUGCAUUGGCCCUCAAUAUGGAUAGCUUUUAUAGGCAUCCUUUGCAUCCUCAUUUCUCUUACAAUCCGAUGUGGGAUUGCUAACCAACCUAAUCAAUGAAAAAAAAAAAUAACUAGUCCCACCCAAGAGGAUUUGAACCUUGGACCCCAAAUUCUAUAGCCAUCCUAGGACACCACUCAGGUACAUAGUUUUUGUUAUCUAAUAUGCCAAACAAAAUAAUAUAUAUUAUUUUUUUGUAAUAUUAAAUAAAAAUAAUAUAAUAUUUUAAAAAAUUAUAAAAUUAGUUUAAAUUUUCAUUUUUAAUAUAUUCACAUUUAAAUAUUUUGCAUAUUUCAUUUAAUAAAAUUAAAAAUAUCAAUAUGAUUUAAUUUGAUAAUAUUAUUGAUUUUUAAUUUAUUCAUUUAUAAUUUAAAUUUUUUAUAAUUAUUUUUAAUUUUAAUAAUAUAUAAAUUAUAUAUUUAUUACGUCACCGGUCCGAUCGCCGGUCCGACCAGUGAACCGUGAACGGGUAAUUUUUCUAGUUCGAUCACCGGUCCGAUUCUGAAAACAUUGGUAACCACACUUUCCUAUAUUUUUUGAAGACUCAAUUUUCUCGCGUGAAGACUUUAUGAUUGACGAGUAGGUAAUGUGAUAUGCUGAUGAAGUCAGCUUCUAGCACAGAUCCCCAUUAAUAGGAUAUUGUUGAAUUGGAGAAUGUUUCCACACGCUCAAAAUGGGGUGUUUUUUUAGCAUCAAGAAAUUGUCGUCUUCAUUAGCUUGUUGGAAUUGGGAUGUAUGACUGAUGACUUGUUAGGAUUUAUCUGAAAAUAAAGUCCAAGCUCUGUCUCUGUCUCUCUCUCUCUCUCUUAUAAGGACAGUGAUGAUGGUCCAAAGAAGAAUUCCGAAGCAUGCAGAGAUUCAGAACUGCAAGUAAUUACACACAGAGUGAAGGCGGCUGGCCAGAUUUAACAUGAGAAAAUCAUGAUUAAUACAUGAUUCUUCACCAAUAAUUGAGUUGAAUGAGUCUACUAUUCAAAUCACAUUGUUAAAAAGAAAAACAGAUAAUAAAGAUUCAAAUCACAUUAUUAAUGAGUGGGCCGGUCUCAUUUAAGAACACGAUUUGACAUGCAAAAUUAAUGGAUCCAUCCAUAUACAACAUCUACCACAACUCAUGAGAAGAAAUUCUGGUUGUUCUAAUAAUUCACCAUUUUUCUUCAUGGAAUUAGUUAUGAAAUAGUCCCAAUUUAGUACUAUUAGAGAGAGUAUCAAGGAAAAUAUUUGGUAGGUGGGCGGUGAAUCAAGUUAAUUAGAUGGUGAAGAAAAACUAAUGAGAGAUGAACUUAAUCAACAAGUUGUACCUCUUUUUUCUGUAUAAUAUGCUAGUUAAUCCAACUGUGUUAGACAUUGCUGCUACUUACAAGUUAUUUUACUUUAUUAUUCAUUUUUUAAUGUUGGGGGAGGUACUGUCGUUUCAUUGAAAACGAUGUUGUAUUACUUGGCAAACAAAGAUGGUGGUAAGUUUAGAAUAAUGCAAUAUAUGAUUUGCAUGCUUUAUUCCUUGGUAAUACUAUGAUUUUUACUAUAAUCCAACUGUGUUAGACAUUUCUGCUACUUAUAAUUGCCGAACAAAAGGUAAUAACUCUUGCUUGAAAUCAAAUUAAUUCCUGAUAUUCCUUUAUUUUUUAUAUGUACACAAAAUGGCCUUCAUCAUAAGUGCUCUGCAAACGAACUGUGUGCUCCUUGAAUGUGGAGAUAUGGCUGCUCCCACGAAGUUUCCAUACCACAUUUUGAAGUAUAGCUAGUUCUCGUUCUGAUAUUAAUCCACACUAAUGCUGGAAGCUUCCAAAACUGCAUAAUACCAUGUUUUCCAUCUUCUUUUUUUUCCCCUGUAUAUACACAUUAUAACGUCCAUGUUACAUGGUUAAUAACCAAAGAAAGAUAAAUUAAUGAACAUGCAAAUGAAUGCUCAUGCUUACAAGAUGAUUGUUUUGAUCUUCUAUGAUAGUGAAACGACGUUGAUCUCUUCUAUAUAUAUAUAAUUAGUACAACUAACAGUCUGCAUCCUUCUAUUCUUGUAUUUGUGUACUGGGGACAAAUCGUUCUUUGUAUUUGUGUACAAGGGACAAAUCAAAUCAUGAGGAUCACAUGACAACACGGCACCAUGCUCAUCACAAAUGUUGUUCAUUUGCUAGCUCAUGAAACAUAUGGUGUGGGCAACCAGGACAAAUCAACUAAUCAUAACAUGCACGACAUUAUGUUCAUGAAACAUAUGCUAAAUAUGGUGUAAUAAACUUUAAAAAAAAAAUUAGAGAAAGAGCGUACGUAAGGGAAACAAAAAAAAAAAAAAAAAAAAAAAAACUAAUUAAAAACAUGAUGAAGAUGACAAGAUGGUGAAAGAGAUUUUUCACCAAACAUUUGAUUAUUAACUAUAGAAACAUUUGACUAUGUAACACUGCUACCUUUUUUUAAUAUUGGGGUAGGUACUGUCUUUCAUUGAAAAUGAUGUUGUAUUACUUGGCAAACAAAGAUGGUGGUAAGUUUUGAAUAAUGCAAUAAAUGAUUUGCAUGCUUUAUUCCUUGGUAAUAUUAUGAUUUUUUACAAAAAUAUUCUUUAAUUGACUUGGGCAGUGUCGGGUCCAGAAAGGCUGCAUCAGUGCCUAGUGAUUCUCAAUCAGAUGUAUAUCUGGACCAUUAGGGAACCAAGAUAAUAUUUUUGAUUGUGUCGCUGUUGUCCUUUAAAACUAUUUAUCCUUGCAUCUAAAUUAAUAAUUUGUUUUCUCAUGCUUGUAGUUUUUGAAAUAAAGUUAAUUCAGGUAGACCAGUUUUUAAUCAGACCUCAAUGCAACAUAUCUUCCCAUCCUACCCAAGAGAAGCUACUGAAAGCUCCUAUGACUGAAGAGAGACAACAAGGAUUCUAUCCUUUUGGAUCGACCUAGCACUAUCUUUUAGAUUCUAUCCAUCUAUUUGUUCUCAUCUUAUUUCUGGGAAGUUCUGUGUUACCCUAAUUAUCAUAUAUAUAUAUAUAUAUAUAUAUAUAUAUAUAUGUUUCAACCCAUCUCAGUGUCUCUUGUAGAUUUAUAAAGGAUAAGUAUUAUUUCUAGUCCAUUCUAAUUAAUUGCCAUUCCCAUAAUUUAAGUUGAUACAAAAUUAGAACUUAUUCAAGCAAAUAAUGGAAAUAAUUCAAUCUAGCUUGUCAUUAAAAUGUUGUGAGAAAUAGAGGUCGCAUUAAAUCACAAUGAGUUUGAAUUGCAUAGACGCACGCACAAAAUCAGAACCAUACAAGAAAUUCAGUGGAAUCAAUGGACUUACAAUACCUUAAUACUAGAAACGCUUAAAUUGGUUAUUAAACAUAUCCCAUUUGGGAUUUAUUUUUACAAUAAGAAUAGUGAAUUAAAAGGCAGACAUUCAGAAACGGGACUCCAACUUAACUAGAAAUUCAUUACAACAGUAGGAUUCAUUCAUAUCAGACAACGACCAAUCCUUUAGAAGCGGCAGCAUGUCCAUGUGGUGACCUAGUAUCUCUACGUUGCUUCUCUUGGGAGAGUAGUCUUGCAAAACUGAAAAAUUAGAAGGAUUUUUUAUUAUCAUAUGAUUAGUUAAUUAACUAAGAAAGCUCUAGAAUAAAACUCUAAAAAUAGUUAGAUACCUUGUGAGAGCCUCCUCAUUGGUCUCGUGAUUUGAAGGCUCAAAGAUACCUGUAUCCAGGUUAACCCUUGAGACCCUUUUCUUUAACAACUCCUCACCAAUUUUCACAAGAUCAUCCAAAUUUUCCUUUGUGGCUAUGUCGACUGAUGAUGUUAUACCGCUCAAUGUAUCAUCCUGUAUUUACCCUUUGUGUCAGUAUCAGUGGUAGACAAGGAACAGAAGAAGCUAUUGACUUUCAGAUAUUUUUAGGACUGAGGAAAUUAUGAAGAAGAACAAAAUUUAAAUAAGAAAUUUGACUUUGUGACGGUAAAUUUAUGAAACCACAAGCAGCAAAGCUGUACCUGUAUCCGAAGAUAGCUUUUUUCCGAGUGAAGGGCUUGAAAAAUCUGUGAAAGGUGUAAGUCGAUCAUAUCUCCGCUUGCUUGGGUAAACACUUUCACUAAGGGGGUGGAACCACCACUGGUCAACCAUCCCAACACACCCCACUUGGCUGCUUCAUCAGCAUUGUAUUUUUCUUCGGCUUUUGAUGACCCAGUUCCCAAGGAUAUUACUAGAAACCGGCCAUAGUCCAUUGGCUUUAUAGGAAAGAAAUCAGGACUACCCCGGGUGAUCUCCUUGGUCACUUCCCCAAUAGCAACCAAAGUCUGAAACAAGAAUCACUAAUUAAUUGAAUUGUGAAAAGAAAAAAAAAAACUGGGAAGUCUAAGAUGCAACUUCAAAGUUAAUGAGUACCGGAUUAUUUGCAGCUACACCACCAUCAAUGAGGUUGAAUUCUCUAACUCUCCCGGCAGGGUCUUUGGUUUCGAAAUAAUGAGCUGGAAGAUAAGUGGGUGCUGCUGAGGUUCCAAUACAUAUAUCUGACAGUAAGGCAUCUAAACUUGGUCUGCUCUUCACCUAGAGCAUGGAAAUCAAGCAUAUAGUAUUAAUAUGAAAGUUAUUAUAGCUCCCGUCAUUCAUUACAAUCUCUUAAUUUUCAUAGUUUGGAUUAGAAGGAAAUGAAAUUGUGGAAAGAAGAUGAACCUGAUAAGUCGAAAAUAUUGUUGGCUGAAGGCGCUUGAUGUCAAAUGUUGGGAUAACAACAUUAGUAAGGGUCUGGUGUAAUCGUGUUUCCCCUAGUUUUUCUUUAACAAGGUUGUGCAGAUACUUCCCAUCAUAUUUUGGUCCUGAUAAGGCUGUAACUACCUUUGUAACAUGAGGAAUUGGAUCAUGACUGCAUUUAAAAGAAAGAUCAUGUUAAUAACUACAAAAAUUAUUGUAGAGUCUAGUUAAUUUUAUAUACAUAAAUACUAGCAUCCUGUCAUCUUAAUCAAGAUGUUCAUCAUGAUAUAUUUGUUACCUGUGCUGUGGAAAAAUCUUAGGGCAGUGAUCAAGGUAGAAGUCCUUGAUAUCUUUGGCAGAAAACAAGGGUCGGCCAGUGUUUUCAUUGGGAGUAGUUAGCAUGGCAGUCACGAGGCCACCGGUGCUUGUUCCUGCAAUCACAUCAAAAUAAUCUGAAAUUCUCGCGUCUUCACCAUCCAGCUUCUGCACCAUGGCCAAACAAUCUAGUGUUAGUACGUAUAAAAUAUAUCCAAUAUAGGAUAUAAGUUUCAGAUUAGGAAUAUGCUAAUUUUUAAAGGCAAAUGGAAAAGCCAUAUUUUGUUAUUAUCAUGUAAAACCUUAUAUUUCCUACCUGAAGCUCAGACUCCAGGAAGCCAAGGACUGUUCCUGGGAUAAGCCCUCUUAUUCCACCUCCAUCGAUGCUGAGAAUGGUGAUUAGAUUUCCAUAAGUUGGAGGCUGUAGGGGUGAUUUUGGACCUUCUCCCAUUAGGGAUGGAGCGAUGGAGGUAUGAACUUGAGUGAUAGAGGAGAGAAAUGAGAGACUUGUUAUUUCAAGAGACUUAGAAUAGAAUUGAAGUUUCUGCAGGAGACUUAGAAAUGUAGAGAGACUUGGAGUUCUCUUUGAUAACUAGACAGGAGUAUUUAUAGACUCCUUAGCAUAUAUCCCUCAUUUUUCUUGCUCAUACUUUUCUAAAUGG